rnacentral:lncRNA from 1 species
AACCAUUGAGUCACCCUUUGCCACCUUUGCAUAGAACCCAAUUAGUGUGCCGGUUAACCACACACGCUCCACUAACAUCUUAGCAAGGGUACAAAGUGUAAUUUCAUGGAAUUGCAUCAAUUCAUUUUUGCCAAAAGUAACUAAGAUUGGGAAUUUUGUAAACAUUUAGCUAGUUUAUUUUUCAUUAUACUUUUAAUGAGGACAGGGUUUGUCCUAUCCUACCCGUUCGGCUAACGACCCUCCACCAAUUAAGUAAGCGGUGGGUGAGACUCGACACCCAUUAAACGACCAUUUUAUAGGCCAUAACCUUAUACCCCCUCAUAAAUCGGCUUUGUGAAUGAGGCCUACUAACGGUAAGACUAGCAUUUAAGUUAUACAUAUAUAAUAUUAGACUUUUAAUGUUAUACAUAGUAUAAGGGUGUAUUUUACACUUUUAAAAUACUAGGUGGUUUAAUUUUAUAAAUUACACUUUUAAUUUCAUCAAAUAUAAACCAAAUGAUGAUGGAUUUAUUAACUUUCUUUUAAAUAUACUUUUAAUUAACUUAAUAAAACCAAAAUGGUGAAAUUUGAACUUUUCAAAACUAGGGUUAUAGAAUUUAACAUUUUAAAAUUAAACUUUUAAUCAAAAUUUCAAUUCCAAAACUUGAGGGCAAGUUUUGAAACUUUUCAAAACAUAAGCAAGAACAUUCUAGAUCAAAUUACAAAUAAUAAUAAUUAACCAAUUAAUUAUCUAAAUAUGACCUAAUUCAGUUUCUUGCAAGAUAAUCUAUCAAAUAAUUCAAAUAAAUCAAGUUUAUCACAUAAGGCAACGAUUAUCUAAUUAAUUUGACAAUUAUCUUCUAUUUUGGUAAUGAUAUCUUUUAAAUUAAAAAAUUAAUUUAACCUAAUCCCUUAAAAUUUGAAAUUAUGGGAUGGGAUAAUUCAAAAUCUUUAAUUACCAAAUUUAAGCACUUAAAAGAUAAUUACAAGAUAUGACAUUUAUCCAAAUCCCUGAAAAAUAGGAUCUUAUCUUGGGGAUGGAGGCAAAUUUUGAAAUUCAAGGGUUGGAUGACCCUAGAAUUCGAAAAGUUGGAGGCUAAGGAAAGGGUUUAGGAAACCCUAACCAAUUUCGAAAUCUUGGAGGCUAAGGAAAGGGUUUGGGAAACCCUAACCAAAUUUCGUGAAUCAGGGUUCAAGAACCCUAAUAUCAAAAAUUCAUGCCUCCUAGGGUUUAGUGGUCAUAAACCCUAAUUUUUCAAGUUCAUAAAUUUGUAUAAUGCUAAUUGAAAACAAAAACCAAUGGCUCUGAUACCACUGAUGGGUUUUAAACAAACAAUCAUAUGUGUGCAUGCAACCCUAGAGUUGGAUCUAUGUUAUCACUAUUAGUUAUACAACAUUAUGAACAUGUGAAGAACCCUAACAAGCUUCUAGGGAUUUCGAAAUUCACAAAGAAAGAUGAAAUACAUACCUCUUGUUGUUAUAUUGGAAUAACAACUUAAAUCUUGAAUCUUUUUGUCUUUGAAAGCAAGCGCCACAAGUGUCGGGCCUCUAAUGGCUCACAAACAAACCUAGCAACCAAGGAUUACUAUGGAGAGAGAAGGGAAGUGGAAAAUUUGGAUCUAAGCCUCUCUUGGAGUGCCUUAGCCGAAAUCCAACCCUAUAGGGGUUUAUAUAGGUGAUAAGGAAGGUUUAGGAUAAGGCAGGUGUAUCUUAGAUAACCCUAAUCCCUUAACUUCCUCCCUAAGGCUUCCAAGGCACCCUUAGAGCCCAAGGAAACCCUAGGACACUCUAGAUUUCGUUCCCACCUAUAAGGGAGGUUCUAGAAUGCUUCAAUGCUCAACUUUGGAACAUUGUCACCUUUAGUCCGUGCACUUUCAGUUAAUUCCUUUAAUCCUAAAAUUAAUUCCAAAUUAAUUUCUGAUUAAAUAUUAAUUAAACAAUAUGAUUUCUAAUAAAUAUAUUAUAUCCAUAAUACAUUAAUAAAUCAUUUAUCUUGAUUUCAAAUUAAUUUAUUAACCAUGUAAUAAAUUAAUUAAUCAUUCUUCUCUCUCCAACAAUUAUCCUAUUCCAUUGCCAGGUUUGAAGGCAACCUAAAAGGACCAUGCACAACUGGGUCAAGUACUUACCAAAUAUGGUUAUGGGCUUAGACACUAAUCCAUUAGUAUUUUCAGUAUGGUGAAGCUACGCACUAGGCCAGUCGGUAGUUCAAGUAUCGGUGAGGGGUCAGGCUCGGGCUCUGGAACCGGGCAGCUAGACGAGAAGACAAGGGAGUUCAUUUCGUCUGAGGUCACACGCAAGUGUAUAGACUACCAGGAGCUGAAUAAGGUAACAAUGAAGAACCGUUAUCCCCUCCCGAGGAUUGAUGAUUUGUUUGACCAGCUACAGGGCGCAUCUUGGUUCUCCAAGAUUGAUCUGUGAUCGGGUUAUCACCAGAUGCGAGUCAGGGAUGAGGAUGUGCUGAAGACAACUUCUAGGAUUUGCUAUGGUCACUAUGAGUUUGUGGUGAUGUCGUUUGGGCUCACCAAUGCUCCAUCCAUGUUCAUGGACCUCAUGAACCGCAUGUGCAGACCGAUACUAGAUCGGUCUGUGGUAGUCCUCAUCAAUGAUAUAUUGGUUUACUCCAAGACUCAGGAGCAGCGUGAGGAGCACCUGAAGGAGGUGCUGGAGACACUGAGGAGGGAGAGACAUUUCACAAAGUUCUCAAAGUGUGAGUUCUGUCUGUGUGAGGUGUAGUUUUUGGGGCACCUUGUCAACCAGAAGGGUAUUCUGGUCGAUCAACCAAGAUAGAGGUCGUGAUGUAGUGGGAGUUUCUGAGGUCUCCAACUAAGAUUCAGAGUUUUCUUGGUCUAGUGGGUUAUUACCGGAGAUUUAUCCAGGACUUCUCUAAGAUCGCUCUCCCUUUGACCCGACUGAACAAGAAGUCGGUGACAUUCCGCUGGGGGUCUGAGCAGCAGGCAGCCUUCAAGACUCUCAGACAGCGGUUAUGCGAGGCACCGAUUCUGACUUUGCCGGAGGGAUUCGAUGACUUCGUGGUUUACUGUGACGCUUCGAUCACAGGCAUGGGCACGGUAUUGAUGCAGCGGGGUCAUGUGAUAGCAUACGCUUCGAGGCAAUUGAAUCCUCAUGAGGCUAACUAUCGGAUGCACGAUUCAGAGCUGGGGGCAUUAGUUUUCGCCCUCAAGAUUUGGCGGCAUUACCUCUAUGGGGUUCGUUGUACCAUUUGCACGGACCACAAGAGUCUGAGAUACCUCAUGGAUCAACCGAAUCUGAACAUGAGGCAACGUCAGUGGUUAGAUGUGGUGAAGGACUACGACUAUGAGAUCCUUUACCACUCGGGCAAGGCCAAUUUGGUGGCUGAUGCCCAGAGCCGCAAGGCAGUGGCGGCUCCGAUUCGAGAUAUAUGUCUGAGGAUGACAAUGAUUACUCCAUUGUAGGAGCAUAUUAGAGAGGCGCAGGUUGAGGGCCUGAAGGAGGAGCGCUGGAAGUGCGAGCGGAUAAUAGGCAAUGUGGCCUCAUUUGAUUACGACAUUCGUGGGUUGUUGACCCUGCAUGGGAGGGUCUGGGUUCCGUACUGGGGAAAAAUACGACAGGUUCUGAUGGAUGAGGCCCAUAAGUCGAGGUUCUCCAUCCAUCCCGGGGUGACGAAGAUGUAUCGAGAUCUUCGCACUAAUUACUGGUGACCAUGUAUGAAGCGGAAUGAAGCAUGGUAUGUGGAGAGGUGCUUAACCUGCAGGAAGUUCAAGGACGAGCACCAGCGACCCCAUGGAAAGAUGCAGCCGUUGGAUAUUCCCGUGUGGAAAUGGGAGGAUAUCACCAUGGAUUUCAUCACCAAGCUUCCCAGGACCGCAUGUGGAGUAGAUUCGAUAUGGAUCAUCAUGGAUCGGUUGACCAAGAGUGCUCAUUUCAUCCCGAUCCAGGAGAGUAUAUCAGCUGAGAAGCUGGCUGAGAUCUACAUGCGUGAGAUAAUGGCACAGCAUGGAGUGUCUGUCUCGGUGGUGUCAGACCGAGAUGUCCGUUUCACUUCCAGAUUUUGGAAUCGGUUUCACGAAGAGAUGGGUACUCAUCUCCACUUCAACACCGCUUUCCACCCUCAGACGGACGGAUGGAGUGAGAGGACGAUACAGACUCUCAAGGACAUGCUACGCGCAUGUGUCUUGGAUUUCGGUGGCAGUUGGGAUACGUAUCUUCCGUUACCAUAAUUUUCGUAUAACAAUAGUUACACGCCAGAAUAGACCGACCUCCCUUCGAUAUGCUCUACGGGAGGAAGUGUAGGACCCCAAUGUCUUGGGGCGAGGUCGGUCAGAGAGUCAUGGGGAGUACUGAGGUAGCACUCAAGACUACAGAGAGGAUCCAGCAGGUCUGGAGUAGGCUCCAGACUGCUCAGAGUCGACAGAAGAGUUAUACCAAUAAGCGGCAUUCACACUUGGAGUUUCAGGUGGGCGACAUGGUCCUCCUGAAGGUGUUACUUUAAUCUCAUAAGGAGCUUCAUAUCGUAAUGAUGGGACGGACAUUAACGUAUAAUCAAUUUCAUUUAUCCUAUAUGCUUAUGUCAUUUGUGGUGGCAUAAUCAAUAACCUAUUAGUUAAAUUUAAGAGUCAAAUGCAUUUUUGAUCCCCAAGUAUAGUUGGGUUUUAAAUUUUGCUCUUAAAAGGUCUUAUUUUGCAAUUUUGGUCCCAAAAGUGUGGUGAUUUUACUUAAAAUAGGGACUAAAUGUAACAUCUGGGAUUUGCAGGUAUUAAUAUUAUUUAUUUUAUUGAAUAAUGGGUUGUUGUCGGUUUAGGCCAGGAUAGUUGGGCCUUAAGCUUUGGGCUGCGAAAGGCAUUACGCGGGGUGUACCAUGCUAGGUACGCGUCGCGUACUCAAAAGGACGGGGUGGGAAGGCCAUGCACAUUCGCCCAACAUACCAAAGGUUAUGCGCAGCGUACGCGUGCAGGUUUUAAAACCCUAACUUUUAGGCUUUGAUCCCUAUUUAAAGGAACUUAUGCCUUUGGUCCAGCAUCCCUCUCACCCUUAUACAUCCACCACGAAAACCCUAACCCACAUUUGUGUAUUCUUGUGAUUUGGAAGCCACGUGAGAGCAUUUUAGGGAUGUUUUGGUGUUUAGAAGAGAAAGGAGUUUGAAGAAAGAGCAAGGAUUCAAAAGGAGCUUGUAGAUCCAGAAGAUUAGCAUCAUUUCUGACUCAUUUAAGGUAUCAAGCUUCAAACUUGAUCAUUGCCUGUUUAGAUUUGAUUUUGGGGUGUUUUGGGUCACUUUUGGACUCCAUUGUUGAGGUUGCUUGAGUCUUGAUAGUUUUAGAACAUAAGAGUUGUCCUUUUGGGCUCUUAGAAGCACUUAGAGUAAUAAAAAUCGGACCUUGAUGGUUAAGCCACAACCAUGCAAGUGUUUGAUGGUAAUAAAUCCUUUUAAAAGGACAAAAAUCAUGUUUUGACCCCAACCAUGCAUGCAAGCACAUAAAGUUUGUGACUUUAUGGAUUAGGAGGUCUUAAAGGACCUAGAUCUACAUUUUGGACGUAAAGACUUAAUCAAUUAAGUCACAAAUGAAGUCCCAAGGAAGAUGGCCAGUACGCUAAGCCUACACCCUGGUACGCUACACGUAUUGGGUAAACUCCCCAUUUGCGGUCAAGACCAGCUUACGUUGGGCGUACGUGCCGGGUAUACCGCGCGUACGCAUGCAGAGUGGCUACCUUGGGCUUUUUGGGCCUUAGAGGGUUGGGCAUGGACUAUUGGGCCCCGUGGGACACUGUGGGGUAUAGUUCUGGGGCUGGGAAUUUGGAAUUAGAAGUGUUGGGCCUUUUGGACCAUUUUGGGCUAAAGACUUAUUAGAAUGGUGAAAAGGCCCAUUUGAAGGGUUGGGCCUAAUUUAGAAAAUUGGGUCAUUAGUGGGCCCAUAGAGAGCCUUUGAUGGGCCAUGGGUGCAUUGGAUUAAAUAAGUUAGAAUUGGGCCUUAGGGAUGGUAUAUGUUAUGCUAAGGGGGUAAAAUGGUCAUUUUACCCUAAGUAGUGUUAUAGAUUCUGAUUGAGUGUUAUUAUGAUUAUGGUAGCCGGGAGUCAUCGGAGCAGCUGAUAGAGAUUACUUCCUAUGAGAUUUGACACUCAACUUUACGAGGUGAGUUACCUUCCAGUAGAACUGGGUCUAAGGCCUCAAUGUCGGUCCACUAGUAGAACCUUGUAGUUAGAUGAUUGUAUGUGUGAUAAUUGUCUUGUAUGCCAUUAUCUGUUAUGUUCUAUGUUCCAGUAUGUUAUGAUUCUAUGUAGUAGUGGUAGGGGUGAAAUAGUCCCCGAUAUCCGGUUGAAAUAGACCAAAGGGGAGGCCAGAACCCAGAUAUGCUAGGCAGGUAUCCGGUUAAAAUAGACCGGAGGGGACACCAGCACCUAGAUAUGCUAGGCAGUUAUCCAGUUGAGAUAGACCGAAGGGUAGGCCGGCACUCAGAUAUGUCUGGCAUGAUAUGUUAUUGUAUGGUAUGUGGUAUGAUGGGGGAACUCACUAAGCUUUGUGCUUACGCUUUUCAGUUUUGGUUUCAGGUACCUCUUCGUCGAAGGGGAAGGAAAUGGCACAGUAGCAGCGCAUCACACACACAUAUGAAUCUGCAUUUUGAGAUCCAUGAGAUUGUACUCUGACAUUAUUAUUAUUCCACAACAUAUUUAUGAUAUUUGACUUAUGAGAUUAUGGGUUGAUAUGAUAUUGAUGACCUUUUUCAGUAAACUAUUUUAUAAGUUACUUAAUUAAAAAUGAAAUUUUGGGUCGUGAUUUCUGGGGUGUUACACUAAAAGUGAAAGAGAAAACUUUUAAAAAGAAAUACUGAAAAAAUCUAACUAUACUCAGAACCAAAAAAUGUAAUUAGUAACUUACAUACCAAUUACUCUAAUGUUUUGAGAACACUAUUAUUCCCUAGAGAUUUGUUCUACACUACAUUCCUUGGAGAUUUGUUCCGCACUACAUUCCCUGAAGAUUUGUUCCGCACUGAAUAUUUACGAAUUACUCUAAUGUUUUGAGAACACUAUUAUCUUGAUCGUCUUCAAGAUAACAAAUGAAUGGUUUUGACUUAUUUAAAAAUAAAAUUUUUACUCUGUAUUUUUAGGACGUUACAAUAGGGCCUUUAAUGACACACAAUGUUUGUCAUAACUAUGUAAGUAAAUGCAUGUCCUAAGCUUAUGACCGACAAAUGUGUGUUGUCUUCAUUUAUUAUUGGGGAUUUAAUGAUACAAAUUUUCUUGUCAUCUGUACCCUUUAUGACAUGCAAUGUGUGUUAUUAAAAGGCUAUUUUCUUGUAGUUGAUUAUCACAUCAUUCAUGGACGAUUGUUAGUAAAAAGCUUCUAACUUGAUCAUGGAUUUCAUAGAUCUAGAUAUUUGUCAUAUUUUCCACUUUUUGUUCGGUUUAGUGCAUAAAGUUUAGAUCUUGAAAGUUUGUGACAUUGUUAUGGAUAAAGCUGGAAACUUUAUCCUUCUAAACAUCAUAUUGAUUCAAAUCAGAAGGUUGGAGACUUGGACUUAAUGGACUAAGUUGAUAAAGAUGUAUUUUUGGUCCCUUUGAGAAUUUAAGACUAGAUCUCGGUUGUUUGGACCAUCCUAAUGGAUAAAGUUGGAAACUUUAUCCAUUAUGGAGCUAUUAGGUAGCAAAUCUAAGCUUUGAGUGAAAUAAGUGCUUAAUAUGGGUAUUGGAGCUUGAGGCAGUACGUCAUGCAUAAUUCAGGCUAUGCCUCGCAUAGCCUAAAUGAGGCUCGUUUUGUCUGGAUUGAAGCUUUACACCCAGCAUGGAGCUAGAGUACGCAUCGCAUAGGUCAACAAAGGGUUGACCGUUGACUUUUUGACUAGUUGAUUUUUGGUCAAGUAUGAGGGGUUUAACACUUGGAAGGGGCAAAAUGGUAUUUUUCCCAAACAAAGGUUAGCCCUAUUAUUUUGGACCUAUUAAGUUGGAAAAUUUCCUUAAUUGUUAAUUGGGGUUGUUUUGGUUGUGUGUAGAGUGAGGAGCUUUUGAUCAGCAACUCGAGUGUGUGUUUUACCCGACUAUCGUUUGAAGUGAGUCUUCUCACUAUACUUAUGGGUUGAAGGCUCUAAUACCGACCCACCAAAUUGUGUUAUGUAGAAUGCUAGUUGUCUUUGUGACUAUUGCAAGUAAGAUUGGGUUGAAAUAAACCUCAGAGUUGGGCUAAUGAUUGUUUGUUGGGUUGAAAGAAACUCCAGGGUUGGGCCCCUUAUUGUAUGUUGGGUUGGAAUAUACCCCAGGGCUAGGCCCAAUGAUAUGUAUGAUAUGUUGAAUUUUGGGGAACUCACUAAGUUUUAUGCUUACGGUUUGUGUUUAAAAUGUUUUUAGGUACUUAAGGUUUCAAAAGGAAGGGUACGGCUUGAUCACACUACAUUCACUAGAGAUUUAUUUCGCACUGAAUAUUUACAAAUUACUCUGAUAUUUUGAGAACAAUAUUUGUUGGGAUUAAAACCCUAAUCGUGAUUUGAUGAACAAGAUGUGGAAAAUAAGAACAAACACAAAUAAGAAGAUAUGUCGAAUGAUCACUCGAUUUAUUCAAAACAUGAGGAAUAGAUUACACUUUCAGAAUAGACUAAAGAAUAUAACUCUACAUAAGAAACCUCACAAUGAUUGGUGGCUACAUUUUGCCUCACUCUUAACCCUAAUUAUGAAUAAUACAUGACUAUUUAUAGGGAAUAGACAAGUCUUGGGCUUUUAACCUACACUUCAUCAAGGGGGCCCAUUGCCAUAAUCGAUGGAGUACUUUGAAACCCUAAAAUCUCCCCCUCGAAGUAUGGAAUGGAUGACAAUGCUUCAACUUCCAAAACAAGCAUCUAGCAAAUAAGAAAUGAUCUCACAAUGAGGAAUAUUUGAAGCAAUCCACGAAACUUGAUUCUUCAAUAGUCUUCAAAAACGGGUUCUAGGAUAUAUAUAUAUAUAUAUAUNUAUAUAUAUAUAUAAAAAUCAAGCACUAAAGUAAUGUCUUUAAACUUCAUUUUCUAAUGUAAUCCCAAAGAUCUUCAAGAAAGCCAAAUCCGCCAUAAAAACACAUUUUAGAAAGAACCAAAUCACUUGAUGUCUUAGAAGAACUCCCCCUCCAAGUCACAAUGAUCUUCAAAUAAGCUAAUGAUAUAAGCCAUUAAAAAUUAUCAUGUAACAACCCAAAUUUUAAGAUUCGUAAUACCACUUGAUCAAGAAAAUACUAGAAGUUGGAGAUAUAACAAGGUCUUAGAAGAGCUCGACGAAGAACUACUACUAUAAAGGCUACUUCUCUGUAAAAGCUUUAGAAGAGCUCGAUGAAGAACUGCUACUAUAAAAGCUACCUUCAUAAUUCUAGCACAAGCUUUAUAAAAAAUCUUCAAAUUUGAAAAGUCAAAAAUCCAAUUUCGAAUGACCAUACCAAAUUCUCCCCCGAUUUAUAAUCAAAAACAUGAUUAUAAAGCCUUCAAAUGGUCAUGAGAAUGAUCUUGAAUGGAUAAAAAAAAUUCUAUGCUCCCCCGUGACAAAAUGAUUAAAACGAUGAAGUAUAAAAUACGAAAAGGUCGAGAAAAUUUGACGUUAUUGCGAAAAACGACUUUCCGAAUCGUCAAGACUUAAUGGAAUCCUUAACUUUCUGUUCGCGAAAAAAAUAUGUGCGUUAAAAAAUCCAAAACUUUUCACCAGCCCUUAAAUUUGCAAACUUUUCGAAAGAUGGGCUGAAACUAUCACACUGCUGAAAGAUAGGGGACAUAAAUAGUAAUUAUGCAUCAUACUCCCCUUCAUCUGUAACAAUUUCUGGAAAUGGACCAAAACAGCCAAAUCACGCAAAGUACAGGGACCAGAAUUAUCAAAACACUGAAGUUGCAGGGACCAAAAAGAAACGUUACUAUCUUCUUCCAUAAUAUAUCGACGAAUGAAUGAACACAACGACUUUAUACGAAUCCAAGAAAUCAACAACCAUUUACCCUUUCGUUCCAAGCACAAGAUGCGAAUCCAAGCACAUUCGUAGUUGAUUCGCAAAUGAUCUCAGUGCUCAAAACGAAUCUAGUCUAGUCAAUUUCCAAUUGCGAGGGGAGUACGAAUCUUGACCCAAUUUCAACUGCGAAUCCACCCUAUUCGCAGUUCCAAUUGCACAAAGUCAACCACGAUUCCUUGACCUUUCUCUUAAUCGAUAAUAGCCCAAAGUGAAUCUCCAGUGAAACAAAAUCUAGUCACAGGUUCAUUGUCGAGUAAACAGGGGAGAAGAACGAGUGUGAGCCGAACGUUCGCAGGUAACAUUAUUUUGACUUUUCGUUUGACUGUUGUUCUUCCCAAUUGAGUACCAAUUCUGAGACCCAUUACACGUAAACAAUAUGAACAACGAAUCAUGAAGUUGCAAACAGAUUAGAACAUCACAAUUUCAAUUUUGACUUGACAAUUGCGAAUAAGCACACAACCACCCCGAUUUCGUUCGUUCACGUGCCACUUCCGAUUACAAUUUCAAUUUCGAAUUCAUUUGUUCGCAUCACAUAAUCGAUUUUGAUAUAAGCCCCAAUUCCAAGACCCAUUUCACAGCGAACCUGUUUAUGAAGACCCAAUUCUGUUUUAGUUCCGAAUGCUACCAAAUGGAACGCCGAUUACGAUUCACAUGACAUUCGUAUUGAUUAAAUUCACAGAUGAAAUCAUACGAUCCAAUUAUGACUUUUAUUUCUUUGAUCAUCAACAUCAAAACUCAAUUUUGUUCAUCCAAUCUUCGCUGUUCAUCACUAGCGGUCGAAAUAGCAAUAUAACAACCAUCAAAUCACACUUUCAAAAUCGAUUUCCCGAUCAAGAAGAUUUAUCACAACCAUAACAAACGAUUGACCAUAAUUGAUGUUAAAUAAAUCAUACAGCUUGGAUUUUGAUUGUUAGACUCCAACAAGACUAUAUUACGAUUAUUGAAAAAAAAUUGUGCGACAGGUGAGAACAGGAAAUAGAAACAAUCACCAAAAAAUUUUGUUGGGAUUAAAACCCAAUAUCCUUAGUCGAUAGCCACAGAUGUUGAAAUUGACAAACAAGAAUGAUUUAAUUAAGCACAGAACAAGACGCAAUCGUAGACUCAAAUGUAAUUUCAGGACCAAAGAAAAGAAAAAUGGAUCGAUAAUAACAUGCGGACCAUAAACAGUGAACGACCAAGAGAUUGGGCCAGAUCAAAAUCAUAUUCGAAUGGAUCCAAUUGGGUCAAAACAAAUAACUAAAAUCAAUUGAUUUUUGAAUUAAAGGGGUGUUUGGCUUAGCUUUUCAAAGCCAAAAGUUCUUUUUGGAAAAGAAAAAAAAAGCAAAAGAUGUUUGACAAACUACUUUUAGAAGCUAUUUUUGAAGUUUUUACAUAAGGAAAAUGAACUUUUUGGAAAAGUCAGGAAAUCCUGACUUUUUGUAACUUUUCCAAAAAGGACUUUUGGAGUUUGAAAAGCUAAGCCAAACACCCCCUAAGCUAAGAGACAGAUCCAAUAUGAACAGAAGAACGAAUUAGAUUAAAAAAAUACCAGAUGAAUAGUAGAAUAAUUCAUAAAUCUACAUGAACAGUAGCUUGAACAAAAAUCUUGAUUCCAAUCUGCCAAAACACCAAUAAUCUUCAAUAAAUUGUGCAGAAAAUGAUCAAAUCAAGAAUCGAUACUUCAAAAAUCAAUAGAUCUUCAAAGACCCGCUCUGAUACCACUUGUUGGGAUUAAAACCCUAAUUUUUAUUUGAUGAACAAGAUGCGGAAAAUAAGAACAAACAUAAAUAAGAAGAUAUAUCGAAUGAUCACUCGAUUUAUUCAAAAUAUGAAGAAUAGAUUACACUUUCAGAAUAGACUAAAGAACCUAACUCUACAUAAGAAACCUCACAAUGUUUGACGGCAACAUUUUGCUUCACUCUUAACCCUAAUUAUGAAUAAUACAUGACUAUUUAUAGGGAAUAGAUAAGUCUUGGGCUUUUAACCUACGCUUCAUCAAGGGGGCCCAUUGCCAUAAUCCAUGGAGUACUUUGAAACCCUACAAUAUUAUUAUGAUCAUCGUUGAGAUAAUGAAUGAAUGGUUUUGACUUAUUUAAAAAUGAAAUUUUUACUCGGUAUUUUUGGGACAUUACAAGUUGGGAUUAGAGCCUCGGUUUGAGGGACUCCGGUACACUUUCGGGUGUGACUGAACUCAAACUAAGGAAUUGUUGAACUUUUUGAAAUAAAAUAGUUUUUCUAAAAAUGUUUCUACAAAGAAAAUGGAUGUGAUGAGUGUAAUAAACCGAGCUCAAGUAAGUAUUUCCUAAAUACCCAUACAUGUGUUAUGCUUAUUGUUUUGGUAUGAAUAUAUAAGAAUUACAUGUUAGAUUAGGGCUAAGGAUCUUCUUAGGAUUGCAUGAUAGAAAUCUAGGAUAAAUGUCUCCAUAUAUGCCUAUUAAUUGAGCUUUUGGAACCACAUGCUAGUAUGAAUUUUAGAUGUUGGAUAGAAUGACCUGAUUUGUGAUGCUUUGUAUCCUAGGAGGAAUUGGAUGUUAUGGCAGAUUUGGAAUCUAUGUUGGUGGAAAUGAUUGCUAAGUGUAUUCUUUAAAAAUGGUAUACAAUUAGGAUCAUACAGCCCUAGAAGCACUGAUUUGGCCUUAUUUCUUGUUCCUUGUCUGGUUGUGGGCUUAAGGUAGAAUCAUUCAUUCGACAGUCUAUGUGAUCCAAUAUUUUGUAUAAUUUUCAUGCAUAAGGCAACCGACAGUGUUGGUAGAAGUUCAUAGCAUUGCAAAAGCAAGUUAGUUGGGGGAUGUCGUUUUAUGGCCUAUAGAGUGCUACUGUCUGAAUGUUACUUGAUUUUGUGCUUUGUGGGACCCAUACUGAUGUAAGCUAAUUAUUAAUUGAAUAUGUCAAGUUACAUGCUACAAGGUUUAAAUAGUUCUAGAAUGAUUGUUUAUCCCUAUUGCACAACUCUCGUUUGAGUCUAACAUUUAUAUGGUUGGGUCUUUUUUCAAAAUAUUAUUUGAGUUUUGUUGCAUGUAAUUGUAUUCAUGAAGUAGUUAGCUGAUAUUAGUAGGGGUUCUUCAGCAGCUGAUGGCAGGGUGAGGUGGGAAUCCUGGGAGAGCCUAGGAAGUGCCUGUUGGAUUAGAUGUCUAAGCCCAUAACUAUUAUUGGUAUGUACUUGACCCGAGAUUAGCAUGGUCCGUUUGGGUUGCAUAUCAUCAGGACGAUUUGUUAGGAUGGAUUCUUGAGAGAAGGUUAUAUAUAUGAUUUAUUAAUAUAUUAUAAGUUAUAAUAUAUUAAUAUGAAAUCAUAUGUUUUAAUUAGUAUUGAUUAAUAAUUAAUUUGGAAUUAUUUUGUGAUCAAAAGAGACUAAUUAAAUCUAUGGGGACUAAUUAUGGUAAUUAGUUAUAUUUAUAUUUAUAUGUGAUGGGCUUAUGAUCCAUGUUGGACCAAGUUUAUGUAUGGAUACAUAAAGAGUUGGGCCACAUGAACCAUGGAUCAUAAACCCAUGGGUAUGGUUUUGGGUUAUACCCAUGACCCUUGAAAUCCAACAUAUAAAUGCAUGUUCUUAACCUAAAAAAUGCCUACAUGCAUGUUCUUGGAGUUCAUGCGUGUUUUGGGUGCAUGGAAUUCUUUCUCAAGUUCCACCUUUGUCCAUGAUGUGUUGUGAUUCCAUUUGAGGCUUACACACUAUUAGGGCUAAGCUUUUAAAGGCCAAAUUCAUCAAGUUCUACAAGCUACAUAAAGAGGUAAACUUCUAACUAGUAUUUUAUGUAGUUUAUAUCAUUUUUAUGCUAGUUGUAGGAUUAAAGCUUUGGAGAAAAUAUUGCAUGUAUAAUUAGAGAAAACAUAGAUCCAAAGCUUUUAGGGUUGUAUAUGCACCAUAGGAUGUUGUAGUAUACUAAAACCCAACAGUGGUAUCAGAGCCAUGGGUUGUUUUCUAUUAUACUUGAUGUUUUAUAAGUUUUCAAAGCAAGAAAAUCGAAAAUUUUUCCUUCUGCCCAGUGAACUCGCCGAUUCCACUGGGUGACUCGCUGAGUAGGUCAAAGAUGGCCUUGAACUCGUUGAGUGCAAUAAGCAACUCGACGAGUUGGCAGUCCAAACAUCGGAUUUUCGAGUUUUUUGGCCCGUUUUGGAUUAGGAUCAUUACCACAAAAUGUUUUUGUUCAUUGUGAGUAAAAAUCUUCUAACUUGAUCAUGGAUUUCAUAGAUAUAGAUAUAUUUGUCAUAUUUGCCACCUUUUAGUCAUUUUAGUGCAUAAAGUUUAGAUCUUGGAAGUCUGUGACCUUGUUAUGGAUAAAGUUGGAAACUUUCUCCAUCUAAACAUCAUAUUAAUUCAGAUAUGAAGGUUGGAGACUUGGACUUAAUGGAUUAAGUUGAGAAAGAUGUAUGUUUGGUCCCUUUGAGACUUAAAGACUUGAUCUUGGUUGUUUGGACCAUCCUAAUGGAUAAAUUUAGAAACUUUAUCCAUUAUGGAGCUAUUAGGAACCAGAUAUGAGCUUUGAGUGAAAGGUCUUCAUGAAAUAUGUGCUUAAUGUGAGUAUUGGAACCUAAGGCAAUACGUCAUGCAUAAUUCAGGCUACGCCCUAUGUAGCCUAAUUGAGGCCUAUUUUUCUGGAUUAAAUCUUUAUGCCUAGCGUAGAGCUAGAGUACGUAGCGUGUAGCUCUGUUAUUUUUGGGCCUGUUAAGUUGGAAAAUUUCCUUAAUUGUUGAUUGGAGUUUUUUUGGUUAUGUCUGGAGUGAGGAGCUUUUGAUAGCAGCAGCUCGAGUGUGUGUUUUGCCCGACUAUCGUUUGAGGUGAGUCCUAUUACUAUACUUAUGGAUCAAUGGCACCAAUGAUGGCCCAUUGGAUUGUAUUAUGUAGAUUGUUAGCUGUCUUUGUGACUCUUUCAUGUAUGAUCGGGUUGAAAUAUACCCUAGGGUUGGGCGCAUAGUUGUAUGUUGGGUUGAAAGAAACCCCAGGGUUGGGCCCAUUAUUGUAUGUUGGGUUGGAAUAUACCCCAGGGCUAGGCCCAAUGAUUUGUAUCGAAUGUGUUAUUUUGGGGAAAUCACUAAGUUGUAUCCUUAUGGUUUAUGUUUAAAAUGUUUUAGGCACUCCUGGUUUCAAAAGGAAGGGAUUGGCUUGAUCGUACUGCAUCCCCUGGAGAUUUAUUAUGCACUGAAUAUUUACAAAUUACUCUGAUGUUUUGAGAACACUAUUAUUCUUAUCAUCUUUGAGAUAAUGAAUGAAAGGUUUUGAAUUAUUUAAAAAUUAAAUUUUUACUCGCUAUUUUUGGGAUGUUACAAUAGAGGAUUUAAUGACAUGCAAUAUUUGUCGUAAAUGUGUAAGUAAAUGCAUGUCCUAAGCUUAUGACACGCAAAUGCAUGUCAUCUUCAUUUAUGAUUGGGGCUUUAAUGACACAAAUGUGUUUUUCAUCUGUACCCCUUUAUGACAUGCAAUGUGUGUCAUUAAAAGUCUAUUUUCUAGUAGUGGAUAAUCCUUCAUCAAAAAUCAAAGGCUUCAAAUUCAAUAGAGCAUUUAUUGUCAUGGGUGAAACGAUGAUAAGAGAUUAAGUUUUUAAUAAUAUUGGGAUUAAUGAGAUUUUAAUAUAGAUAUAAUGGGCAAUGAGGAGUGGAUGAAUUGAAAGUGGAAUGUCUUCUAAUACUUACAAAUAUUUGGAAAUCGUCACCAACUAAUAAAGAAGAGGCAAACAACUAUUAAAAGAAAACAAAUUGUGAUAUACUUUCAUUAGCAUAAGGAUGGGAGGUUUCACUAGAGUCCAUAAACGAUUAUUUAUUGCCCCCGAUCAUUUAAUGAAAUAACACUAAAUAGUUGAGGAAGAGCCGUCAGUUGUUCUUGAGUCGAGUUGUUAAUCCAUGACCACUGAGUCUUGACAUGAUUUUAGGUCACAACAAAAGCAUGGUUGGUGGAGGUAGUCACAGCAAAAGGUAGGGUCGUAGGAAUCAUUUAUUUAUCCGAGAUCAUGUUGGGUUGGUGAUGGUUUCAUUUUAUUUACUUAUUUUUAUAGUUUAUUUUAGCAUAUUUCAUUCAUAAUUUAGCUAAUCUUCAUGCAUAUUUUCCUUUUUGUUAUUUUAUGACUAUUUCGGGUACUUUCUAGUUUUGUGAGCAUAAUUGUAGAUUUUAAGGAGACGAGUAGAGCAGGAUAUUUGGGAGGAAAAUGGACUUGGAGGACAAUGAAGAAUCAUGGGCUAGAAAACUAAUGACGAUGAUGCAAAUCAUGGGCUUGUUAAUAUUUGGAGGCUUGAAGAAGAUGGAGUUGUGCUUAAAAGAAAGUGGAGGAACAUUUGUGCAUUCAGGAUUAAAAUGAUCGGAUGAGUACACAAGCUAUAGAUGACUUAGAAAAGGUGAAAUGGGCUAAAAUUGAAGAAAUCUUGAAGAACAAUGGACUAUAAACGGAUUGGACUCGUUCUAGGCUAGUGGGCUAAGUCAUUAGAAGCCCAAAUCACAAAGAAGCCCAAAUCAGCAUGACCUGUGCGGGCUACCCAUGCAACAUCAUGCGGGUCACACGCAGCUUUUGAAAGGCAAUUUCAGGAAUUCAUCUUUUGCUCUAUAUGGGGAAGGUUGGUGUGCAUCUUUUGCAUACUUCUUCACAUCCGAAAAUUGGAGUAUUCUCUGGAGUUUUUGGAGGUCUUGGAGCUCUUGAAGAACAUCAAAAACAUAAUAUUUUACUCUUUGAUUCUUGCUACAUGUUGGGUACAUAAUAUUUUUAGUUUGUUUUCUGGAGUUUAGCCAUGUUAGGAUAAAUUAAUCUUGGUUGACUUUGGUGAAAUUACUUGAAUACUUGGUUGAAUGUUGAAGAACUCCAUGAACCUGUUCUUGAAUCUUUAUGAGAAUGUUUUAUGUUUUAGCAUCUUCUUGCUACUUGUAUGUUUUUAUUCAUGAGUUUAAAUGUAUUUGUGGUGAUUAGUUGGCUAAUUUCUUGAUUAAGUAAUGGAUCCUCAAAUUAGCAAGCAACAAGUGGUUCUUGUGUUAGUUUUCACUUCACACAAUCACAAAAACAUUUUCUCCAACAUGGUAGUGAAAGCAUUUGACUCCUCUUGGAUUUGGUGACUUUUUGAUUCUUAAUGCUAGUUAAUUUUCAAUAAUUACAUGCGUAAUGGAAAUUAUGACUUUAACUAAGGAAAUAUGUUAUGAACUUCUCUAACUAUUUUAAUAACUAAGAAAAGUCUACGUAAUCUCAAGCUUCUUGGAUUACUAUAACCAAAUUAGAGAUUUAAGACAAGUAUUGCACUUUGAAUUCUAAUGAUAUGUUUACCAAAUGUUCAAGUGAGGAAACCUUAAGUCAACCAUCUUUCUCUCAUUGAUUUUACAUCAAUCUCUUGCUUUUGUUGAAUUAUCUCUUCAAAUCUGAGUUUAACUCUAGUUUUCUUUUAAAUAUUUUAAAAGACCAAAAACCCAUAUUUUUACUUUUAUUGUCAUUUUACAAAUAUUUUUACAAGGUACAUUAAGUAACAAAUUGAACCAAUCUUUGUGGAUUCGACCCCUUUACCACUAUACAUAAUUUUAGUGUACAAGAUUUUAGGUUAUUUAUUUUGUUGGCCUCAACAACCACAUGUUGUUUGGCCCAAUUAUAGUUAAGCAGGCUAGUCAGCGUACUGUGUUUGGGGUUGUCGAGCUCAACUGUGUGUUGGGUUAAUCUGAGUGUCGGCAAUAGGCCCAAUGACAAAUAAAAUGUUUGAAAGGGCAUGAAGAUUAGUAUAUGGUGUGUGUGUGGGGGGGAUAAGUCAAUAGGAACCACUAAACCCCCCAUUAAUGAUGAUUGAUGUAUUAUGGCAGGGCAGCGGCACUGCCACGCCCCAUGCCUUGUACAAGGUUGGAUCAACCUCCACAUCCUCCUCUGCAUUGAAAUCCUUUGCGAUAACCUUGAUUUACGCAUAUGUGAUAUGUGUUUAAGUUGUUGAGGAUGAUGAACGAUUUAAAUGGGACAACAUGGUUCAACCUCUACUCUUCUAAUAAAAGUAUGGAAUGUGUUUCUAGAAUCAUGGGAAGAUGAUAUUGAAAUCAAAUUAAAAUAUAAAUGUAGUCAAAUUUGGGGGAGAUGUCGUUAAAAAAUAGUUUUGAUGUAAGUGCAACAAUCAGUCACAAUCAAAUCAUCAAUAGUAAUAUUCUGAAGUUCAUUGUCUAAUUGAAUGAUCUUGUUAUCCUUAUUACGAUGAAGCAAAGUUUCAAGGCGUCACUGUACAUGUCUAGCACUUUCGUUUUUUUAGACUCGUAUGAAGUAAAGAUUGAGAGAUGGUUCCAUAGAUCCAUAUCUUCAUGAUGGAAUCAAUUUGAUUCCAUUCAGCUUUGUAAGAAAAAUUCAUUGCUUUAUUGUUUGGCUCAUCUAGAUGAUUAGAAACACCAAAACCUCUACAGUGGGUUUCUUUUAAAGCUCUAUCAAUGCAUUGUAAUUGAGACAAUUGAGAUCAAGAAUAAAUAGAAUAUAUGAUUUGAUGUUCGUAAUUCCAUAAGGUUUCUCAGUUGCCAUGAGAUGAUGAUAAUAGAUAUAUGAAUAAAAAAAAAUAAAAGAAAUAGUUACAAGGUAAGAGAGCUAAUUGCGGCUUGUGCUGCACGAGGGAGAGAGAAGAGAUGGUCAAUCAUGUGUUUUUAUGCUCCAAUACCAUGAUAGUUUUGAUAUGAUUUUCAUAAUGAUCAUCUCUUACUGAAAAUAUAUAUGUAAAAUACGUACAUGAAUACGAUGGACUAGGCUAUACAGUAUCUGCCUUAUACAUCAACUAAAUACAAUCCAAAUAUAGUAUGACAAAAAAAUCUUAUUAGAUGAGUUAAAAAUCAGUGAAAUGUAUUUUUUAAUGAAUAUAACCUACUAAACAUCGCCUUAUUGGAACUAUGUACUAUUAAUACAAUAAUUUACCAUAUCAACUAUAAUAAAUAAAGAUCUAUUUUGCCACAUGUCAAUUUCUAAUGAGUUUUGACAAUUGUCAUUUGGUGAUAUUUUUGAAAUAAAUAAUAUCCACAUGUCAAUUCAUAGGUUUUUCAAUCUUUAAAAUUAAAAAACCACAUAGUAUUUAUAUAUUUAGAUAUGUAAAGUAUUAAAUAUAAUAAAUAUGAUACUCAAUUGCAAUUAAUACAUUCCUUUAUUUUGUUAUUUCAAAAUUUUAUUUUAAAAAAUAUUUAUUGUUUACAUUUUAAUAUUUAAUCUCUUUUUUAAUCAACCUGUGUAACACAUGGUUUUUACNNNNNNNNNNNNNNNNNNNNNNNNNNNNNNNNNNNNNNNNNNNNNNNNNNNNNNNNNNNNNNNNNNNNNNNNNNNNNNNNNNNNNNNNNNNNNNNNNNNNNNNNNNNNNNNNNNNNNNNNNNNNNNNNNNNNNNNNNNNNNNNNNNNNNNNNNNNNNNNNNNNNNNNNNNNNNNNNNNNNNNNNNNNNNNNNNNNNNNNNNNNNNNNNNNNNNNNNNNNNNNNNNNNNNNNNNNNNNNNNNNNNNNNNNNNNNNNNNNNNNNNNNNNNNNNNNNNNNNNNNNNNNNNNNNNNNNNNNNNNNNNNNNNNNNNNNNNNNNNNNNNNNNNNNNNNNNNNNNNNNNNNNNNNNNNNNNNNNNNNNNNNNNNNNNNNNNNNNNNNNNNNNNNNNNNNNNNNNNNNNNNNNNNNNNNNNNNNNNNNNNNNNNNNNNNNNNNNNNNNNNNNNNNNNNNNNNNNNNNNNNNNNNNNNNNNNNNNNNNNNNNNNNNNNNNNNNNNNNNNNNNNNNNNNNNNNNNNNNNNNNNNNNNNNNNNNNNNNNNNNNNNNNNNNNNNNNNNNNNNNNNNNNNNNNNNNNNNNNNNNNNNNUUGACAAAUUGUUAUCCGUAGGAAGAAAUCACAUGUUUUGACGAACACCUACUUUGACACCAUAUUUUAAUUGUAACAACUAAUAAAUUUAUUCAUUCAAAAGUGUUAAUAAGUUUAUUUUAGGAUUUCAACAUAAAAAUAAGUCUUGACUUGAACAACGAAGAAAGAGAAGAUUUCUAAGAUAGGUAUUAGGAAUUCUUAUCCUUGUGUUAAAACUUCAAAAAAUUCAAUCUAUUUUUAAUGUAAACUAUCUUUUUUUAUAUAGGAAAAAUGACAUAAAAGCUCUUAAGUUUUCACCAAAAUGUCGGUUUUACCCUUUGACGUGUUUUACGUCCAGUAAAGCCCGAAGUUUUAUUUAAUUUGUUCAUUUUUACACUUGUAGCCGGUUUUUAGGUAACCUACCGGUUACCUAAUGCCAGUAAAGCCCUUGAAUUUUCAAAAAUAUUUGGAUUCACCCUUAAGUUUUUCAAAAAUAUUCGGAUUUACCCUUACCUUGAUUAUUAUUAUUAUUAUUAUUAUUAUUAUUAUUAUUAUUAUUAUUAUUAUUAUUAUUAUUAUAACAACAACAAUCAAUGUAAGGGUAAAUCCAAACAUUUUUGAAAAACUUAAGGGUAAAUCCGAACAUUUUUGAAAAUUCAAGGGCUUUACUGGCAUUAGGUAACCGGUAUGUUACUUGGAAACCGGCUACAAGGGUAAAAAUAAACAAUUUAAACAAAACUUCAGGAUUUACUGGACAUAAAACACGUCCAAGGGUAAAACCGAUAUUUUGGUGAAAACUUAAGGGCUUUUAUGUCAUUUUCCCAAAAUUAAUUAGAAAAGUUAGCCAUUGAAUAUUUAAAUAAUUGAUCAAAAUGCUUCACCUGGAAGCUAUACAACAUACACACUCAUGCACAUGAACAUCAAAAUUUCACAUAUAUCAAAUCUUGAAUCAAUUAGGCAUCAUACUUUAAAUCUCCUAUAGAUCACAAUAGUACCACAAAAAUCUUCCAAGAUCAAUUAAAAUCCAGUAAACAGAUCACUCAUUAGUUGCCUUCAAUCAUUUAUACCUUCUUCAACACUUAAAAUCUUGAAAUCUCACCUCAUACAUGUUACUUACAUAAACAAACAUGCACCCAUGAAUGAACAAUGCAUCGUACUCUCUAGACCAAAUUCCAAGAUUUCUUGUACUCUUUGAAAUCUCCCAAGCCUAGCAUACAAAACAUAGGGGUACCCUCGAAUUCAGUCCAAAAACAUUCACAAACUCACAUAUUCUACAUUAUACAACAAAUACAUAAUAAAUAAAUCACACUUAUACUACACAUGCAUACAUGAAUCAAUAAGUGCAAUGUACUCUCCAAUCUAUCAAUAUCUUCCAUGUACCCUCCUAAAAAUCUGAUUAUAUCUUUCAAAGAUCAUUGGUACAUUCUCCAAUUCACUCACACGCCAUACAUACAUGAAAUCCAUAGAAAUAUUGUGGUUGUACUUCCAUAUCUCUCAUUUGAUUCACUACUAUGCCCUAAGAUCAUAGAAAUCUGAAUGAAGUACCUUCAUCUUGUUGCAUUCAACCAUAGCAAAUACCCCUGUGAAAGGAGUUGAUAAAAGCCAAUUCGAGAUGGCUAAUAUCCCAAGAAUUCAGAUGAAGAAGAUGGACUAGAAUCAGAUAACAAUUUCAUUAACUUUUUCUGCUUUAAUUCCUCCCUUUCAAAUGGAGUGAUACAUCAAUUUAUAUAACAAAGGAAAUGGACGUAAUACCUAAAAAUUAGGAACNAAUUUAAAUUUCAAACCCUAGAAUUUUACAAGUUUAAAAUUCAACCCUAUACUAUUAUAUAAUUACAAGCUUAAUAUAUAUAUAUAUAUAUAUAAUUUAAAUGUACAUGACUUAUUGGUUGUGAUGUGAUGUUCUAAUAUAUUAUAUGAGUGACACAAACGGAUCACCAACUUUUUGUUAUCUAAAAAUGUUUGUCUUUUACACAUUUACAUCAUCACAUGUACUUAGGAAAAAAAAUUGAAUUCAAAGUAUUUGGGAAGUUACAAGAAAAUUUUGACCCUGUUUUGUAAUUCUGUCUUUUCUUGUUUUGGAAUAAUGUUUUUCUUAUAUUUCCACAUAUCAUCAUAUCAAUGGUGUUUUUUAUGGAUUGAUGGCUUGUAGAAAGAAUUCUUUCGGCUUGUUUCUCCUUCAUCAGCUUCUUAGUCCUUUUAAACCUUGUGUUGAAACUUACAUAAACUUGCAUAAAGUUGGAAGACAUGAGAUCCCAUGGGGGUAUCGUCAUAACAUCAUAACUUCCGAAGUGAUAUUUAAGAAUAUCAACGUUAUCUGCUACGAUCCGGAUUAGACCAAUUCAUCUGAUGAAGAUGAGCCAGAUUGUCCAAGAAGUAAAUAUUCCAGCCGGCGAUGGUGGUGCUAUAUUUAUUUAAAUGUGGUUGUUUUUUUUUUCCAUUGAGAACCAAAAGCAUAACCGAGCUAUACAAUCAAAUAUGAUAUAAAGGCUAAAAAGGAAUUUUUAUAAUUAUCAAAUAAUAGUAAAUUAGUAAUUUUGUACUGAAAUUAAAUUAUAACAAAAUAAAAUUAAAUCAUACUUGACUAAUAGCAUAUGUUUGAGCAUGAUCUAUGUAAGACACUAACACUAAUGUUAAAAUCAUUUGUUAGGUUGAUUCCAUUUAUGAAAACAUCAAGGAAAUCGUUCAAAGUGUAUUUAUGGUUUUUUAAAAACCAACAUGUUUUCAUAUUCGGUGUGUUAUAAGGAUUGUCGGGAACUUAUACAAUUCAGUAUAAUUGAAUUCCUUUCUUUUAGAGUACGAAUUGUGAUUCAAUUAUAAUUACCAAGCAAAAAAAACAUAUAAUUACAAAGGAAAAAUAUACAUAACGAAUGAUAGAAGAUAGGAAAUAUUAAAUCGGGGUGGUUGAGGUUCAUGCUUGUCACAAUUACCUAAUAUUAUAGAUUCGUAUGUAUGUAUCUAUUUCUCAAGCUAUAAUAGCUGAAGCACUUUUUGUUAGAGUUUGAGUUUCGGAUAUCAACGAAAAAAAACAUCAUAAAUGGUCCCGUGUUUUUAUGAAAUCCGACGUUUGUUCCUUAAGUUCAAAAAAUCUCACAAAUUGUCCAUAUGGUUUCAAAACUUUUGAUAUUCAGUCCGUUAACUUUUGUUCGUUAAAUGAAAGACAUAUUCAUCAUUUCACUACCAUAUGGACCGUUCAUGAAGCUUUGUCUUNNNNNNNNNNNNNNNNNNNNNNNNNNNNNNNNNNNNNNNNNNNNNNNNNNNNNNNNNNNNNNNNNUAACACAUAAAAGGGUCCCACUCUCUCUUUCUCUCACUCUCUCUGUGACAAAGCUUCAUGAAUAGUCCCUGUGAUACUGAAAUGUCGAAAAUAUUUUUCAGUUGACAAACAAAACAUAACGGAAUGAGCAAUAAUGACCAAACAUCAAAAGUUUUGAAACCACAUGGACCAUUUAUGAGAUUUUUUGAACUUAGCGACUGAACGUUUGAUUUUAGAAAAGCAAGGGGACAAUUUAUGAUGUUUUUUAUGAAAAUAUUUGGAUAAUUCAAGGAUCUUGUACACAAAAUUUCCAAAAUAUGAGAUUUCGACCAUAUUGUUUGGGGUAUCACGAAAUCCGGUUUGGGAUAAUCCAAGAAAACCGAUUUGGAAGUAUACGCAUAUUCCAAAUCCUUGGGUUUUGGCAGGAAAAAACUGGCUUUGUUCUUUGGACCUCGCGUAGGGGCGCUGCCUCUGAACUAGGGAUGAAAGUGGGUCCAAACCCGGACCGGAUGGACCCGGACCCGGAAAACCCGGAACCGGUUAACGGGAUUUUAUAGAACCGGAAACCGGACCGGUAUAUAGGACCCGGUUCCGGUUCGGUUUCGGGUAUGGUUCCGGGUAAAGUGGGUCUAGAACCGGAAAACCCGGAAACAUCAAAGUGGGUAGGUUGGAACCGGAUAAAGUGGGUUUAGACCCGGAAAACCCGAAAAAACAGGAAUUUUAUGGUAAUUACUUACUACUUAGUGGGUUGAACUUUGAAAAUUUUCAUAUUGAUAUCCCGACUUUGAGGGGUUGUAACUUAUUGAAUAUGAAACCACAAUUAACAAAAUUAGAGUCUAAAAUCAUGUACAAACUCUAAAAUACACUCUGGAAAAACCCGUAUGUCAAUCCGAAUUUAAACGAAUGAGAUAUACUUGUGUUAAUAUUUUCAUAUAAUACAAAGUACAAAAACAAAUAGCUGAAAAGUUGAAAAUUUUCAGUUUUGAUAUCCCGACUUCGGAGGACUGUAAAUCAUUGAAUGUUAAACCAAAAAUGACAAAAUUAUAGUCUAAACUCAUGUACAAACUGUAAACUAGAAGUUGGAAAAAACCACAUGUCAAUCCGACUUCAAACGAAUUAGAUAUGCAUGUUUUAAAACUUUCACCGAAUACAAAAAAAACUAAAAAACUAAAAACUUUCAGCUUUGGUAUCUCAACUUUUGAGGACUGUAAGUCAAUGAAUAUAAAACUAAAAAUGACAAAUUUAUAGUCUAGAAUCAUGUACAAACUCUAAACUACAUGUUGGAAAAAACCGUAUGUCAAUUGGAGUUGAAACGAAUAAGAUAUGCAUCUUGUAAACGUUUCACAAAAAGUGGUUCCGACCCUAAAAGUGGUUCCGGUUCCAAAAACCGGUUCCGAAUUUUAGACCCGGUUUACCCGGACCCAAUGGACCCAAACCCGGAUUACCCAGAACCCGGAUAAAGCCAAUUUUUAAACCCGGAACUGGACCCGGUUCUAUAUAUUCCGGUUCUAACGGGUCCGGUUCCGGUUCGGUUCCGGUUCCGGUCCGGUUUUCCGGUUCUAAAUCUCAUCCCUACUCUGAACCCCUUGUUCAAGAGUACUGAUAAGUAAUCUUAAUGUGCACUCCGCACCUAUUGUCUCGGUAUUUAACGAAAUGAAACUACUUUGUGUCAAAUAGAAACCUGGUCAUACUAAAUGCAUUAAUAACACUACAAUAACAAAUAAUUUGUAUAUUCAAACAUAACUAACCUUGAGUGAAAAUAUUAAAUGAAUAAGAUUGACGUCUUGAGUUUAUGUUGGUUGUACAAUUUCUCUCAAUAUCAAUUAAGAUGAAUCUUAGUUGUGUAAGAAAUUUUUAAUUGGAAUGAGGGUCUCGAUGGAAUUUUCAACAUGAAACUAUCAUUAUAAAUGCUAAUAAUCCUACAUUAAAAAUUAAGGGUGAUAGCUGAUAAUAUAACACGAUACAAUUAAAACAAAGUUACAAAAGUGGGAAUCAGAAUAACAAUAUAUAUUAUUUGGAUAGAUUCAAUGAUCGUGUUUUGAAAACUUUCUAAAAUCUGUAAUUUGUCCAUUUUACCUAGAGCACCCGAAUUCAGGAGUGAGAUAAUCCAAGAAUAGAACAAAUUCGAAUUACAUACCUAAUUUGAAUUGAGAGACAUAGAAUACCUUUUGCUUGAUGUGUUCUUGAGAGAUAGACAGAAAUCAUAAUGAAUAAACUUUGAGUAUAUGUUUUGUAACCCAUUUUAUGGAACAUGAAACAUGUUCUUAUACAAGAAGGAAAGGAAACUAUUAGUAGUUACAAGCAGAACGCUUGCAUCAUCACGAUAUCAUCAAGUGAGUUUUUGGCGGGAAAAUGCAUCGUUGGAGUCUUACCUGAUAUAUAAAUUUUUUUAGUUAUUGGACAUAACAACCGCCAUGGGAUCUACCCAUUGUAACCCUGUACUCAGGGGCGAUGCCCCUAGGCCCCCGUAUCCCGAGCUCAUAUUAAUCAUUCUGAGUGUGCACCCCGACCUCCAAUCUCGGUGAGUGAAAUAGAAUUCAUCCUAUCUCAAUAUUAAUAAAAACUACAAUAAAACAUGUUGAUAACAAUAAAAGCACCAACCUUCACGACAAGAAACACGAUUGAGAUGAAAACUGAAAUUCAAAUAUAUGCUCAUGUCGUGUUUGUGUCAAGUAUAAAAAACACGAUGUCGCGUCAUUUCGUGUUGGUGUUCAAAAUUCGACAUGAAAUUUGUAACACCUCAAAUUUUAAAUCAAAAUUUUCAUUUUUAAUUUACCAAAAUAAAGUUUCACAAACCAAGUCAUCAAAAACAUAAGUGUCUAAAACAAACAUCAUCACAAAAUAUCAUAGUAUCUCAAACUGUCCCAGUAACAAAACUCCCAGCGAGUGUGUACAAUCAGACCUUCGCCUUCUCGCGGUCCUCAAAAGUAUCUGAAACACAUAAAUUAACAAUUGUAAGCACGAAGAUUAGUGAGUUCCCCAAAAUACCACCUACAACAUAACAUAACAUAACAUAAACAAUUAUUGCUUAUUAGCAACCCUGAGGACUAUCAGCAGUCCCAGUGGGCAAAAGCACGCUCUGUGGGUUAUCAACAACCCUAGAGACUAUCUGCAAUUGCACUCACACAUACACAUAAUAAUGUAAGAUAUCAAUUAGAACCAACUGGUCGACACAAAUGCAACUAUUCUACCACACAUGUAAGAAUAAGUGAGGAAACUCACCUGAUACUAAUGAUAGAUAAAUCUCUCACCCAAAUUGUCGGAACUAGAUUCCGCUUAAUCAACAAAAUAAUUAACCCUAAUUAAUAAUCAAGGUCCAUAACUCAACUCCCGAGUCCAAGCCCCGUAACUAAGUCGCUUAAGGGAAAAAGACCAGUUUGCCCUUCCCAUGGUCCAAACCCUUAAAUCCUAACCAAAGGUCAAAAUUCAACAAAAGUCAACUGCCCAGCGCAUACGUUAGGCGUACUCUCUCUUAUGCGGGGUGUACAACUCGAUCAGUGACCAACUGGGGAUGGGACUGGCUAUGCGGGGCGUAGCCAGGAGUACGUUCGACAUACUCUGCCUGAUAUAACUUCAUCAACUUUUAUGUCUUAAUCCGUUAAGGCACCAAUCCCAAUUUCAGAUCUAACCUUCUCAGGGUGUCUUAACCCAUAAAUUCAUUGACUUUAAGCCUUUGCAUGGCUAGAAAGGACCCAAUGCAACAAACUUUAACUUCCAUCACACUCUAAGUCACUUUACUUAUGCAUGGGCCAAAGGAAAUGAUCAAGCAACCAUUUUUAUGGAUCUACAAGACCUAAAAUGCAUGAAAGGACAAUUAAUAUUCUAUAGAGUGCUCCAAACUCAUAAAGGUCCAAACUUUAGGACAAAAAGCUCAUGAAACUCAUCCAUGGAGAUCAAAAAGGAAACUCAUCAAGGUAUAAACUUUAUACCUGAAAAAGAUGCACAAUGAGAAGUAGUUUCUAGAUCUACAAGCUUGCAAAGCAACUCCUCUUUCUUUUCUAGCCUUCGUCUUCAACAAAUAUGCACCAAAACCACUUAAUAAGUUCCCAAACUCACACAAAUAAGCUUAGACUCGAUAUUAGGGGUUUUGAUGGAAUGGUGGAUGAUAAGGAAUAUCCAAGGGAGGCAUAAGGUGAUUUAAAUAGGGAGCAACCCUUAAAAUUAGGGUUUAGAGACUGGGCUAGUACGCCCGGUGUACCACCCAUCGUACUAGAAGGGCUUCAGCGAUCUUUGAUCUUACGAGUACAUUGUGCAUACCCUCAUGUACACAAAACGUGAAACUUUUACCACAAGGGACCAAUUAUGCAACUCUGAUAAAGUUAAUGGCUAAAAUGAUAAUACCUGAUAAUCGGAUGUUACAAAAUUGACAUGAUUUAGCAUUUGUUUUUUUAUGUUUGACGUGUUAUGUAUGCAGGGUCAUGCCAAUGGGUGGGGCAGCUUGGGCGACGACCCAGGGCCUCAAAAUUUAUAAGGCCUCAUUUUUUAUACCUGACUAGGUAUGAAACCCGUAUGUUAUACGGGUUUGAUAAAAUAAAAAUUAAAUAUAAAAGUUUAAACAAAAUUUUAUUUAAAUUUGAAGUUUUAGAUUUGAAAUUUAAAAUUUAAAAUUUGAAUUUAAAAGGAAACAUAUUAAAUACUAUAUGAGUAUUAAUAUUGUAAUUUAUUGGUUAUUUUCAAUUAAGGUAAUUAUUAAUUGAUAUGUAAAUAUGAUGUGUUCAUUAAGAAAAGAUUAAAAAAAUAAGAAAAUGACAAAUGGAAAAAAUAUUUAAUCAAAAAUACCCAAAAAUGACAUGUGUCCAAGUUAAUGAAAGAGUGACAUGUGGAAAAAUUAUUUUUAUUUAUUAGAGAAGAUUAUGUUAGUAUAAAAAAAACUUAAUAUAUAAUAAAUAGCUGAUGCAGAAAAAGGAAAAAAAUGGAGCUAAAACAAAAUCAACAAAGAAGACUUAAGGAAUGUGUGAUUCUUCUAAAACAAUCAUCGCACUGGGCCUCUCACUACCAUUGAUUUCAGUUUUUUCAUGCAACCUUCUGAUUUCUGAUUUCAAUUUAUGUUUUCUGGUUUUUUAUUUCAAUAUUUCAUAAUACAUCGAUUAUGAUGAUAUGAUUUCACACAUCCUUAAAAAAAUCGAUUUUGUAUUUGUGUUAAUAUGAGUUCAGACAGUCUCAAUGAUUCUGAUUUUGAUUUCUGAUUUGUGUUCAUUUAAUUUCUAAUUUGUGUAAAUUGUAAGAUUUAGUUAUUGUUCUUCACUUAUUUCAUAUUAGUUUUUUUUUAACUUCCAACCAUAUAUUAAAGAGAGAACAAAAACUCUAGCAAGAAACUACAGAACAAAAAGAAAUCAUUACAAAUUGUUUAAAGGGAAUUGUAACAAAAAAUUCCACCGGAAAACAUGAUUUCUAAAUCUAUUACUAACUCAAAGAAAAGAGAGCUCUCUAAUAGAAUAAAAAUAAUAUAUUUUCUAAUCUGCCACCACCAAACACUUUAUCAUUACGAAACUGCCAUAAGAACCAUAACGUCGGGUAAUACACCACAUCAAUAACUCUCCUCUUAUUCACAGUCCCACACAAACUAUCCACUUGCUUAAAGAGUUGUGUAAUAUAAUCAAAAGGAAUAAGGUGUGUUUCUAACCAUUUAAAUAUUGCAUUCCAAUUUCUAGGGGCCACCUCACACCUAACAAAAAGAUGAGCCAACUUUUCUUCUUCCAAAUUACAAACCGGGCACAAAAUACAAGGCAUAUCAAUACCAAAAUGUUAACUUUCCUUAGAAUGAACAAAUUCCACCUAGUAUGUAUCAACCCAAAAAUAGCGGUAACACUUUUCAUUUUUAAAUCAUCAAAACAUACAUCAGGUGUCUCAAAUUAUCAUAAAACAAUGUAUCAAAACAUCAUAGUAGAAUAAUCAUUGAUACAUAAAUCAUAAAUGGGGUGUUGUGCGAUCAUGCCGACCCCUUCCUUUUCAAGCUGGAAGUACCUUAAAAUAUUGAACCAUAAAACCCUGAGCACGAAGCUUAGUGAGUUUCCCAAAAUUAAACAUACCAUACAUACAAUUGUCAUGGGCUACCCCAUGGUCUUUUCCCUGGAAUGUCAUGGGCUAAGCUUAAGGUCUUACAACCUGGGCUACCCCCAUGGUCUUUUCUUGAAAUGUCAUAGGUUGUCCGCGUGAUCUAACAUCCAAGUGUCAUGGGCUAUGCCCAUGAUCUUUCAUGCAAUUUCAAUGGCUACCCCAUGGUCUUUCAUACAAAUGUCAUGGGCUACCCCCAGGGUCUUCCAUGCAAGUAUCACAAAGACAACUAGCAUCCUACACAAUCCAGUAAGUCGACAUUGGUGCCUUCGACCCACAAGUACGCUGAGAAGACUCACCUUUUAGACAAUAAUCAACUGCUACCGCUCUCACCGCCGAAAAUACAGAUGUUAUACACCACCUAUACAACCACAUAAGGUAAACCCUUAACUCUCCUUCCAAAAUUAGGAGUUUGACCAAAAGUUAACUCAAGCCAAAAAGUCAAUAGUGAAAGUUAACUUCAUACGACUGCCACGUCAUGGCUAUCCAUUACUACGUCGUGGCCCCCAAACGACAAAACAUACAAUUGUUCCCCAGUCGCCAUAACGUGGCAACCUAAGGCCAUGCCAUGGGCUUUGGGCUCUUAAAAGCUUAAUGGGUUAAGUCGUUUCCUUCAAUCCCAAGAGCUCCAAAGCUCGGAUCUGAUCCUUUCUAUGGUCUAGUUGGAUGAAGUUUCCAACUUUAUCCAUUAAGACAUUCCAAAAGAUCAAGAUCUCAAACCCUAGGUGCAAAUAAAGGCAAAACAUGACAUGAGCUUAACCAUUAAGCACUUAAUCUCUAAAGUUCUUAGUCCAUCAAUUCCAGAAGAGUUUCCAACACCAAAAUUAACCUAAAAGUUAGUGAUUUAUAGACAUGCAUGACCAAUGCAUGUAUUGAACUCAUAUUAGGCCAAAAUAAUGGUUAUGACCAAAAAUCUCAUUCAUAGAUCAAAAUUCAACCAUACUUUAAAUCCAAACCAUCAGCCAUUCCAAAUGUCCUAGAGAUUCAUGAAGUUGCAAACUUUAUGGGAUCUCACCAUCCCAACUAACAUGAAAAAGAAGAAUAUGGAACAAAACUCAAGAUCUAGCAACCUAACAACAUAAAAGUUGAGUCUUGGACACUUAUAGAGGUCCAGAAGUGUGCUAAGAUGAGGAAUGAAAACUUGCUUGUUGGAUCUUGGCUCACUUCUUCCUUCUUCUUCUUCCAAAAUCUUCCAAAAGCACCAAAAAGAACUUCAACAAUGGAGGAAAGGGAUUAGGGCUUCUUCAUGGUUUAGGAGAAUGAUUGAGGUUGAGGGUGAGCAAACCCUAGCCUCCUCAUUCCUUUAAAUAGGGAGCAAAACUCAGAAAAAUAGGUUUUAACUCACUAGUGGCGGCCAUGCCGUGACCUAUAACCUGCCAUGCCAUAACGGGUCAAAAAGAACUUUUCGACAAAAAAUGUCUCACCACAUCGUGGCCAUCCAUGACUACACCAUGGCAACUCCAAACAACCAAACUAUGAAUAAAUCAAAUGUACCACAAGAUUCGAAUGUUACAUAGUAGAAAGAUUAACAUUUCGAAGGAUCCUUUUGUCAAUCUAUCUUCUGGUAUCUGCAACAGAAAAAUCUUCGUUUGCUCCUAUAAUCCAUUGCCAACAAUCCACAUUAUCAUGUUUACCUCUAACAAAGCAAUUUUCAAGUCAUUAAGCUGGGAAGAUUCCUCAUCACCACGAACCUCAUGACGCCAACACCAAUUCUAGUGAAGACUCAAUUUACAAUCGGAAAUAGAACAAUUAUGAGCCAAUUAAGAUAGAAAAGAUGAGGGAACCAAGAAGAAAAAGUUUGAUUACCAAGCUAAACGCCAUUCCAAAACUGAACUGUAGAGUCGCUACCUAAAAUUCUCAUAGCAACCGAACUAGGGAUGAUACCUUUAUCUUCAAGACAGGCAAACAAAGCAAGGAUCUUAGCAACCGAAUGAAAAAGGAUACAUUAUAAGUUUAAAAUAAUAACAUGUUGCCUAGAAAACAUUUAUAUGUUAUUGAGAAAAGCAAGAAAAAAACGAACUAGUACUAUUACAAAAACAAUAAAAUGAUAAAUUUAUAACAAUGACCUCAUUAAAAAAAUAAAAACAAAAAAGUCAUCUUCCUUUACUAAAUUUUUUUAUUAUAAAGGUCUUUUUUUUGCAUGGGCCUCAUAUUGGCUUGGAUCGGCGCAAUAUAUAUGAUAAAUAAGGUUCUAAAAAGCUCGAAAUGGAUGACACCAAGGCUUGUAUUUGAUCUCAUGUUUUAACAAAAUUUCGUAUUAAGUCAUAUACAUAUAUUGAAAUGAAUAAUACUAGAAAAUAUGUAUAGAAUUAUUAGUUGUAUAUAAAAUUGUCGUUUUAAGUCAAGCCCUACAAACGACAUUGUUCGCCACGGCUUGUAAAAGCUUAAGGUUUGAUAUUGUCGUCAAGUCACGUUUAACGUUAUAUAGAACAUUGAUAAUAAGUAUUAAUUAAUUAAAGUAAAAUUUUAUUUUAUGUUAUUUUUGUUGUAUCGUGUCGUGUUUGUCGUUGUUUAAUUGAUUAGUUUUUAUGUUAGUUAAAAAAAACACAACAUCAUGUCGUGUCGUGUUCGUUUUAGAUAAAAACAUUCUUGACGCGUGUCGUAUCAGACAAAAUAAACGACACAAUUGUCCAAUUUGUCACCCAUAAUUAAAAUGCAUUAAUGUUGGAGUUAUGGUAGAAAUUAUAAUCGGAAAACAUAUUAAUGCUUGGAGUUACAUGUCUUUUUUUUUUUUUUUUGAAAGAGCCAAAGCUCAGCUGAGUUACAUGUCUUAAAUGGUUUAGUAAUGCUGUGAAGUUAUACAACUUGUAUGGCUUGAAGAAAAUAUUAGAUCAUGAAGGAUCAAAAGUUAUAACUUCAAAUUUUGGAUCCACUUUCGAGUGACAGAGCUUUAUGUGAUUCUAUUACAAUGAAUCUUAAUAUUGAAAGUUAAGGUUGUAAAAAGAUAACUCGUUAAUCGUACGGCGGGAGUUCAAGAGGAAGUUUAUUUAUUUAAUAAAUAAACGAACAUGAAUACAAAUUAUCGUUCGUUCAUUUACUAGGUGCAACACUCAUGUAUUACAUGAGUUCAUUUAAAAUAAAAAUUAAAUAUGAAAUUCUAAACAUUUGAGAAGUUUGAGUUUAUAAGAAAAAUAUUAAAUUGUUAAAAUAAUUUUUUUUUAAUUUAAACAAAUAAUUUAGAUAAGAUAAAUAAAUUACAAAAAAAAACUAAUUAGACAUUAAUUUAGAAAAUUUAAAAUUAUAAGGAAAAUCAGUUAAUGAAAUUGAUAUUCAUUUAUUAUUAUAUUUAUUGCAAUUAUUACAUUUAAAUAUUAUAUAGAAUUUAAUAUAAUGGAAAAAAAAAAUCAUAAAAUGACAUGUAGAAAAAAAAACUAAUUUAAAAUAACCAUAUAAUGACAUGUGACAAAAUAAAAGAGAGUGUGACAUGUGACAAAAAAAUAUAUUUAUUUAUUAAAGUAGAUGCUCGUGAACGUUCGUUUAUGUUGUUCGGUUGCGUUCGUUUAUAUUUGUUCGUUUAAGUUUAUUUAUGUUCAUAUAUGUUUAAUUGUUUUUUAAUAUAUUACUAUAUUAUAUGUUCGUUUAUGUUAAUAUAUGUUUGUUUAUGUUUGUUCGUUUAGGAUGUUCGCAUGUUUACGGACAUAAACAAAUACACAUAAAAAAAGUAAUUUGUUAAAUAGACAAAAAUGAACAAAAAAACUCGUUUGUCGUGUUUUUUUGUUUGUUCGGCUAACUUAAACGAUCGAAUAUAUAUCUAUAGUCUAUACCAUGUCAUAAGACUGCGCAUCAGUAUAAAAUGUCUCUUCAACAGUAAAAUGAUCUUCAAGCUCGGGUCAAGUUGCGAUAUAUUAUUUUGAUCUAACCUAAUGCAAUUUUAUACUUGUUCAUUAAGUUCCAAACUUGUUAUUCGUAUUCCAAAGGUUUUUGAAUAUCUGUGGUUUUAAUGAGUAAAAGGUUUUUGAAUCAAAGAAAGAAAUGUUAAUUCAAAAAGCAUAAUAAAUUGAUAUAAAGUUAGUUUUUGGCAGUGAAAAGGUGAUGCGUCCAGGUGUAGUCAUGAGUCAACCGUAUAGAUAAGGCUUGCUACUGUGUUCACGUGGUAUGCUUCUCAACUCCACGUGCGUUCAAAUCUCAAAAAGCAGCCAUUCCAGCGUCUUUAAAGGAAAGAAAUUCAUAAAAGACAAUAUAUUUAAUUUUAUUACAUCUUUUUAUUUAUGCUAAUAAACUCCUCUCGAUUUCUUUUUAUAGUAAUAUAAACCUUAUAAGUUUAACAUAUAAGAUAUCAGAUAUAUUUGGUAAACUAGUAGGUAGCUUUAUAUUGAAAUUUUGUUAUUAAACUUUCCGAUAUAAAUAUUAAAACUAAAGCUAAACUCUCACAACAAUUAUUGAGGUGAAUUUUGUAUUAUAAGUUUUCUUUUUUUUUUUUUUAAAUAAAAUUUUGAAACUCGUAUUCUCGAACCAAAUUUUUUCUUUAAAUCUAAAUUUUUAUUUAAAAGUUAAAAUCUAAAAACUAUUACAAAUUUUCAAAGUUUAUUAUGUAACAUAUCAAUAAUGACCAGCCCUACAAUAUGGGUUCAUACCAGAUCAACCUAGGGAUGGCUCAACCAGUUUGGUGACUCUAAAUGAAUCAAAAAUUUGAGACUCUUUGGCAUUUACUAUACUUAAUGUUAUCACAAUGAGUUUUUAAUAGCCUUGACCUUGAGAAACUCAAAUUCAUUCCAACUUCCAACAAAAAUCGUUCUAAACCUAAUUCAAUGGUAAUGUACUACAAUUUUAAAGUUCAAACUAGACUACUAGAGCAUUCACAAAAAUCAUAGCCACAUCAUAAUUCAUAAACGAGAAAAAAAAAAAAAAACUUAACAGUUAAUAAAUGAUCCACCAUAGCAAUUUUUUGGUUUGAAAAUUGUUAUACAAAUAACACAUCAAACAUUAACCCUAAUAGAUAAUCUAAUAGACUGAUAAUCAUAUUCAUAUAUUCAGAUAAUGGAAGGUCUGAAAACUGUUACAGAUAUAACAUAUCAAACAUAAUCCUAAUAGAUUAACUGAGAAUCAGAUUGACAGAGUAUCAGAAGAAGAAGAAGAAGAAGAAGAAGAAGAAGAAGAAGAAGAAGAAGAAGAAGAAGAACAGUCGCUUGGUUAUUAGAGGAAGAAAAAUCAAUUAUCAAACAUAAGAAGAAUCGAGAAUCAACUAAUCAGAUUAUCAGAGGAAGAACCGAAGAAGAAGAACAUAUCAAAACUUAACAUACAAUUUCAUUGUUUCAAUCGUAUUACAGAUUGGUAACGUUUGCUUCUUGCUUCUGCCGAGAAUGGAGAAUCGAAGAAUGAGAAGCUGAGAAAGAAGAUCGUAAGAACAACCCGCAGUCGCUUGGUUUUGAUCAUUUUUGUCGGUGGUAUGUGGCGUGCACGAUUCGAAGAACCAGUAAUCGAGAUUUGGGUUAAGUAGGACCCCUUAGAAUUAGGGGCCCGAAGCCCAUGCUUAGUUUUACAUGAAGUAAGGUCGGCCAUUCAUUAACCGUCUAGAAGCCUCAUAUAUCUGUAGUGGCAGACUUAUGUAGUGUCCGGGGAGUCCCAGACCACUAUUCUGAUUUCGUCCGUUAGUGUAAUUUUUUUUUUAAAUUUUUUCUAUCAAGUACAACGUCUUGAAAUAAGUGUCACUGUUAUUUCAGAUUUGUUUGAAAAAAAAAAUUGGGUGCCACCACCACUCAAACUUUCUGCGUCCGCCAACAACAUAUAUCUGUGACCACAUUUAGAAUGUCAGACAAGACCUUUUAAGUCUUGAGUCAUGACUCCAACCAACAUCGUGGGGCCAACUUUUCGACCCCCAAAAAACUAACAGAACUUCAAGUAAAAUAAUUUGACUCUUUCACAUAUAUGAAUUAAGGAAUCAAGAAUACCAAGGUAUGAUACAUUAUAAUAUGUAUAUAUCAUUGAUAAACCUUAUGUUUCAAACAAGACAAUUUCAACUAUUCACAUUCUCACCUUGUUGCUAUAAUUUUCAUACAAAACUCCAAUUUUAGCUCGAGUAGAGGUUGAAUGAUUAGACAUGAUAAUACAUUACAACCAAUUUUCAUACAAAACUCCCAUUUAGCUCAAGUGGAGGUUGAACGAUGAUUAGACAUGAGAAUGCAUGACAACUAGUCGGAAAAAAAAACACUUUUAGAGAAUGACUUUUUGUUGUGAAAUAUGUUAUGAAUGGUGUUUGUUUUGAAUUAUGUUAUAAUUUAAAGUGGUUUAAAUAGAUAGUGUAUAUGGUUGUGGGUGAGAUAUCUAAUGAAUUUGAAUGGUUGGUGAAAGUUAUAAAGAAUUAUGUAAGUAUUGGUUUAACAAUGAAAUGUUAAAUUGGGCUAAAAUAAUACAUGAGAGUUGCAUGGUGUUUUCAUAAAUUCAAUUAUGGAAAACUACCAAAGGGUCAAUGGUCUAGCGGUAUGGAGUGACCUUUUCAUAUGAGAGGUCAGAGGUUUAAGUCCCGGUGGAGACAUAGGUGGUUAUUUAAGAAUAGAUUAGUUAGUUUGCCGUUUCAAAAAAAAAUUAUGAAAAACUGUUCAAAAUGUAUAUACCCCUAGAAUAAGGAUUGAAUUUACAAUAUUAAAUUCGAAACAAUAAUGAUAAUAAUUAUUAUUAUUUUUAUUAUUAUUAUUAUUUUACAAAAUGCAAAACUUUGAAAUCUGAAACAUUACUCCAAAAUAUAGUGUUUCAAAUAAAAUUUUUAUUUUCUAAAGACGCAAAAAGAAAAAGAUGUAUUUUUAUUAAAAAAAACAUUUUCGGUUUUGUUAUUUUUUCUAAAGAAAAUUGAGAUAUGGCUUAUAGGUUUCUUAGAACACCAAUAUUUGUAUAAGGUUGUAUAGGAUUUUUAGACCAUCCCUAACGAUGACAUUAUUUUUUAUAGAGAAAUUAAAUAUUCUCCUACUUUUUGUUCCUAUAAAUCCUCCUACCAAUUUACAUAAUGACAUGUGUCAUAUUAGUAUCCUAAAAUAUUCUAAAUAUAUUAUUUUUUAUUCAACAUUAAUGUUACAUUCAAAUCCAACAUUAUAUAUAAUAUUCGGUAUAAUAUAGGGUCGGAUUUAUAGUGUAAGAAUGUAUUUUUAAGGUUGGAGAUACCCUUAAAAGGUUGUAUUUGGGACUUUGGGUGUAAAAAAUUGGAGGGUAAAAUAAUAAAUAUAGUACUUUUUAUAUUUUUUUUAUUGAAUUCAUAUAACAAUCAUCAGUUUUUAUCAUUUUAUAUGCAGGUUACACAAUUAUUACAUAUAAUAAUAAAAUAAUGAAAUAUUAAGUAAAUUGUCAACUCUCUUUGCAUCAGUCUUACAUUUUCCUUGGUUUGGAAGUUGUGAUGAUAAGCUUUUAUACUCGCAUAUAAAUUAAUGUUAUUUAAUUAAGAUAAAUAUUUAAUUACUCUCUCUCUCUCUCUCUCUCUCUCUCUANNNNNNNNNNNNNNNGGUAAGACUAGCAUUUUAAUCAUACAUACAUACAUAUAUAUAUAUAUAUAUAUAUAUAUAUAUAUAUAUAUAUUUUGAUAUUUAAAAAAAUAUAAGUUUUUUUUAAAACUACAUAAUCAUAUUUUAAUAACUAUAUACUAAUUUAAUUAAAACGGAAUAGAUAUAUUAAUAUAUGAAUCAUAUAUGAAUAUUCAAUCCGUUUUAAUUAUUCAUAAAAACAUCUUAAGAUUUUUUUUUUAAGAAUAUGGUGUUCUUCAAGUCUUAAAUCAACGAAUAUGUAUAGCCUAUUUUGUAUUUGGAUAUUUUAAAACUCAUGUAGUUUGUUCCUAGCUUAUUGAACACUAAUAUGAAUGUUGUUAAAUGUGUAAAACCAUAACCAAUCCUAUUUCAAGUGCUUAUGUUGACCAUGGAAUCCUCAAUUUCAUUUCGUAUUCCUAAAUUGCCUUUUGGGCCAAAACAAUCAUGAGAGCUAGAACUUUAUUAUCAUGCAUUCAUGUUUAUGUUCUAAUAUCAUCACUAGAGUGUCAAUCAUAUUCAUAAAUGUCAUUCACUUCUUAGAUGUCAAUCUCCAUGUAUUUAUCCAUAGAUUUCCCUAAAACCAUCUUAAAUCCAUGUUUAUACAUGAUUAUACUAUCAUGGAUGAGUUAAAGCAUCCCAAUUGGAUUUAUUGUUAUCAAACAUCAUCUAGGUCAUUGAAUCCAUCUCAAUUUCAUAUACAAAUACAAGAUCCAUAAAUUUGGGAUUCUAGGGUUCAUAAAGGUCUUUUUAUCUAAAUCAAUCAAUGGGAUGAUUAGAUUGAGAUUGGAACCAUCAAAACUACUCAAAGACGGUUAGAAACCAAAACCAUAAUCAAAGAAUCAAACUAAAAUCACGAUGGGGGUCUUUGCCACAUCAUGAAAUCGAUUUCUAGGUUAAGAGGAUGAGAAAUUAUAUCUUGUAAGCCUUUGUUCCUUCAUUUCCUUUCUUGGAUAUUCAAAUCUCCACUUGAAUCAAACCCUAUAAGCAUAUGAGGUGAAAAAUCUCCAUUGGAGAUGAGGGUGAAGCCCAUUCAUGUUUUUCUCCACAUGAGGAGAAUAUGUUCAUCUUUAUUUCCCAAAAAAUUAUUAUUUAAUCCCCAAGUUUGUUAUUUUGCCAAUUCCACCAUAAAUUCGUAUUUUUGCAUCUUUCUCAAUUUAAUUGGUAUAUUUAGUCCAUUAACAUCCAUAUUUAUUUUUAAAUUAAAUUUUAGGAUGUUGCUUUUUUUAUAUAAUGAUUAUGAUCUUAGUUCUGUAAUUAUGUCAUGUAACUUGAUUAUAUGGUUAGUCAUAUCAUAUGUAUGUGGCUAAUUUCUAAUGUGAAUAUAGAUAAAUAUACAUAUUAACAUUUAAAUCUAACCAAAUUUACAUUUAUAUCUUAAAAAUUCAUUUGAAUUUUAUUUAAUCUUUCAAUUUCAUAUGUAAUACAUAUGAUAACAAAUGGUACAAUUUAUAGAAAUAAUAUGUUUAAAGACUAAUGAUGUAUAAAAAACCAAAAUUAACAAGCCUGAUAUAUAACUUUAACCUAUAAGCCAUUAAACUUUUAAUUUAAUACUUGAUAUAUUGAAUGAUGAUCUGCACAUGUCUAUACACAUAAAUUUGGGAUAUUUCAUAUAUUAAUAUUGUAAUCAAUAAAUAUUACAAAAAAUAAAAAGAUUAAAUUACUCGAAUAGUCCCUGUGGUUUGAUGUAAUUUGUAUAUUUGGUCCCUAACUUAUUUUUUUUUAACUCGGACAAUCCCUAUAAUAUGUUUUUGUUGCAACUAUAGUCUUUGCCCGACAUAAAAUGUCUAUUUUUCCAUUAGUGAUUUUUUAUGUUGUUAAUUCUUUUUUUAUUAUUUCAGUUAUUUUAUUAAAUAAAUUACAUUAUUAUCAUAUUGUUAGAAAAUGAUCCAUUGUGUAACAGCCAAAAAACCGCCAAAAAACCGGAUAAAAUUUUUCAUUUUCAAUUCAGAAUUAUAGCCAUAAUUUGUUUCCAAAAUCUAUUAAAAAAUAAACAUGUCAAAAUAUCAGAGUAACAACAUUAGUACAUGCAGAAAAUAGUGGAGAGUGAAUGAUGUGCAAUCAAGCAUUUUCCUUCUUUUUAGUACAUGAAGUAUCUGAAAUCACAAUACAAAUUGUAAGCAAAAGCAUAAUGAGUUUUCCCAAAAUAUCACACAACAUACAAACAAGUGUCAUGGGCUACCCCCAUGGUCUUCCAUACAAGUGCCUCGAGCUACCCCCAAUGACUUUCAGACAAGCAACCACAUAAAACAAUUAUCAUUCCACAUGAAAAGUAAUGGGCUGUAAUUGGUGCCUUCGACCUAUGGAUAUAGUGAGAAGACCCACCUCAACUGCUGAAAUUCCAAACAAAUACUCCGACUGCUAGGCUGAUAAAAAUCUCAUGCUAACUAGACAAAUAGGUCCCAAACAAUAAGCUUAAAGUCCGAACUAAGACUUCACAUAAAAUAAUAAUGACCGAGAUAGGAUGGGUCAAACUAGUCCUAAAGCCCAUAAAUAUCCAAAGUCCAGUCCAAUGGAUCAAUUAAGGCCCAAGAGGGCCUAAUAGUUGUAGAGGCCCUAUGGAAAAAUACCCAAGGCUCAAACCCAUUAACCAAGCCCAUCAACUUGGCCCAAAACGCAAUUACCCCAUAUAUGGGUUGUACGCUCAACGUGCAUAGUGGUACAUGCGGUGUACCAAGUCGAAGCGGGAAAAUACGACCAAGGGAGCCAGUUCAUGCGGCGCACGUCAUACGUAUACCCCAUGCAAACCAUGCAAUAGUGGCUUAACUACUUAAGUGCUUAAGCCUAAAAUCUAGAUCUGAACCUCUUAAGUCCAUUAAGUCUAUAAAGUUUCAAACUUUAUGCCUUGGGACAAAUACCAAAACCCCAAACUCAAAAUCCUAACUUAUCAUACCCAAAACUACAGUCUAGAACAUGAAAGAGGACACAAAAAGGUUCAAGCUUGCACCUUUAUGGGAUGAAACGACUAUAAGCUUUUGAAAACACAACUUUGGGGCUUAGGAGUAGCUCAUACUCACCAAGAUCUAAUCUUUGUGGACAAAAUGGGGAAAACCAGACCCAAAGUGGAACUUAAUGAUAUGCAACCAAAGGUUGGAGCUUUAUACCUUGUAAUGGAGCAAAAUAAAGAUGGGAAGCUGGAUCCAAACUACUGAGGGCAAGGCUUCCUUCUUGAGCAACCUACUUCUCCACCAAAAGCACACUUUAACACUCAAAAUCCCCAAAAAGGGGCAAGAUGCACUAAGGUUUGCUAAGAGACUCGUGAGAGAGGAUUGAGGCUAAGGUAGGGGAGGGGCUUAGGCCAUAAUAGGGUUUAAAUAGUGCACAAACCCUAAAUCUUAUGGUUUUGGUCUGAGCCUCGUACGCCCAAGGUACUGGAGUAUGCGCAAUGUACUCAUCCGGGACCAACUACGCUGAGCGUACAAGGAUGUAUGCCAUGCGUACUCAAUUAGGGCCAAAACUUAGGGAUUUUCACUUCGAGGACCUUUUGUGCAACAAAAACGAACUUUAAGGGUUCAAAAGAAUACCUGAAGAUUUCUAGAUGUUACAACUCUCCUUCACUUGAAUUAGACUUUGCCCUCGAAGUUCGAUGAUGCGAAUAAAUCCGGGUACUGCUCUCUCAUCUCAUCCUCCGACUCACAUGUCCAUUCGGAACCCCUUCGGUGCUGCCAUUGCACCUUUACCGGAUUCACCACCUUGUUACAAAGAAUUUUGGUUUUCCUGUCAGUUUUGGGCUUCUCCAUAUAGUUCUAAUGCUCAUCCACCUAAAUAUCAUCUAACGAGAUCAUGGCCGAAGCAUCGGCUACACAUUUCCGCAAUUGAGACACGUGGAAAGUGUUAUGGAUCUGAGUGAGCUCAUCAGGAAGAUCCAGUUGGUAUGCAACCCUGCUAACACGGGCAGAAAUCUUGAAUGGACUAAUAAAUCGGGGACCCAUCUUGCCCCUUUUCCAAAAUCGGAUGACACCUUUCCAAGGUGACACCUUUAACAACACAAAAUCUCCCACCUAAAACUCGAGAUCAGAACGACGUCGGUCCGUGUAACUCUUCUGGAAACUCUGUGCUACCCACAACCUACCACGCACCUGCUGAAUCAACUUGGUGGUCUUAAGCACUACCUCAAUGCUUCCCAUGACCCGUUGUCCGACCUCUCCCCAACAAAACGAGGUCCUACACCUCCUUCAAUUCAACAUCUUGAAUGGUGGUUGAUCAAUACUAGCAUGAUAACUGUUGUUGUAGGAGAACUCUGCCAGUGGAAGGUAAGUAACCCAACUCCCUCCGAAAUCCAACACAAAAGCCCUAAGCAUAUCCUCGAGUGUCUAGAUCGUCUUCUCGCUCUGACCAUUGGUCUGGGGGUGGUAUGAUAUAUUGAAAUGAAAUUGAGUGCCUAACUCCUCAUGGAACUUCCUCCAAAAUCUGGAGGUGAAACAAACAUCGCGGUCUGAGACCACAGAUACCGGCACCCCGUGCCUUACUACCACCUCCCAAACAUAAAUACUCUUGGCAAUCGGAAUAAAAUGUGCACUCUUGGUCAAACUGUCCACAAUGAACCGAAUAGAGUCAACACCCCGCGUCGUCCUAGGCAAUUUGGUGAUGAAGUCCAUAUUGGUCUCUUCCCAUUUCCAUAUAGGUAUGGUUAACGUCCGCACCUUUUCGUGAGGUCUCUGAUGUUCGACUUUGACCUUCCUACAACUAAAACCCUGCUUAACAAACCAAGCCACUUCCCUCUUCAUGUAGGGUCACCAGUAACUAAACCUCAAAUCUCGGUACAUCUUCAUGGCUCGCGGGUGGAUAGAAAACUUUGAUUUAUGGACCUCCUCCAAAAUUGUCUGUCUCGCCCCACCUGAUGCUGGAAACAGACCCUACGACACUGGGUUAAUAACCCCCGACUGUCUCUAAUAAACAAAAGAAUCUACCCUUUAAUCUGCUCAAUCUUCCAAUUUUCCCUUUUUAAUCCUUCUACCUGAGCCUCCUUGAUCAAAUACAUCAAGGGUGAAGUAACAAUCAUCCUCAAAAAAAUAUCUCGGAUCGAUGAGCACACCGCCUUACGGCUCAAAGCCUCGGCCACCACAUUAGCCUUCCCGGGGUGAUACAAAAUCUCGCAGUCAUAAUCUUUUACCACAUCUAACCACCUCCGUCACCACAUAUUCAAGUUCGGCUGAUCCAUCAGAUACUUCAAACUCUUAUGAUCAGUAUAGAUAGUGCAUAGGACUCCGUACAAGUAGUGCCUCCAGAUUUUGACGGCAAACACCACCACUCCCAAUUCCAAAUCAUAUGUAGGAUAAUUCGCCUCUUGAGGCUACAACUUCCUUGAGGCGUAAGCAAUCACAUGACCUCUCUGCAUAAGGACAACUCCUAAUCCCGAAAUAGAAGAGUCUCAAUAAACUACAAAAUCAUCCAAUCCUUCAGGAACGCAAGGAUAUCGGGGUCUCGCACAAUCUCUACCUCAGAGUCUCGAAGGCCAAUUGUUGAUCCGGACCCCACCGAAAGGUCACAUUCUUCUUAGUUAGGUGGGUCAGAGGCACUACAAUCUUGGAGAAGUCUUGAAUAAAUCUCCGAUAAUACCCAGCAAGACCCAAUCUUGGUAUCCUGAACGAAGAUCAAUCUUGGAGAAGUCCUGAACAAAUCUGAUGGUAUCCUGACCGAAGAUCAAUCUUGGAGAACCAAGAUACACCCUGAAGUCGAUCAAAUAAAUCGUCAAUCCUCAGAAGUGGGUAACGGCUCUUCACUUUUACCUUGUUCAAUUCCUGAUAAUCGAUACACAUCAUGUGUGACCUGUCCUUCUUUUUCAUGAACAGGAUCGGUGCUCCCCACGGGGAACUGAUCGGACGGAUAAAACCCUUGUCUAGCAGCUCCUGCAGGUGUGUACACAACUUCUGCAUCCUGGGUGGUGCUAGGCGAUAUGGCGCCUUGACUAUUGGAGCCGAACCAUGCAUCAAAUCAAUCUGAAACUCAAUCUGCCGCUCGGGAGGCACUCCCGGCAACUCCUCGGGAAAGACGUCAGGAAAAUCUCGCACAAAGGGUACCCUGCUCAACUCUAAUGUGGCCUUAACCCGCAUAUCUGAAACAUAAGCCAAAAACCCAGAACAACCGUACUGAAGAAGCCUCCUAGCCCUCGCAGAUAAACAAAGAGUUGGCCUAUGUUUGAACUCUCACCAACUACCGCUCACAAUCAAUCACGACCCCAUUGGGCCCCAACCAAUCCAUCCCGAUGAUCACCUUCAAUCCCUCUGUUAGGAAUAACGACGAGAUGUUGAAUGUGGAAUCUGAAGAACAAUCAUGAAUGAAUCACCAUAAAGUUGAAGUAAUUUGACAGAGGUUUUGUGUAUAUUGAUAUGGAUAUGAACGUACAAAGAAAACCCUUUUUCAGGAAAAAGCUUACAUCAAAAGUUAACAUAAUGAUUAUUUAUAGAGAACAUAAAAUAUUUACCAAAAAUAUAAAACCCUAAAAAGGUUUCCCUAAAUAACCAAAAAUUCCAAAUCAGUUUCAAUAUCUCAAAUACUCAACACCCUCAAGGGGAUCGACACCAAAUCGAUAGGAAACCUCUCACUAAACAUGUUCAAAACACAUCCUCGGAAUACCUGUGCAGUGCUCACAGUACGAUCAUUCACGAUCUCCACCUCCAGAGGGGAGUCCACAGUCCCUGGAGCAUCUCAUAACUUCUUGUUGAACGCAAGAGAUACAAAGGAUCGGGUAUCCCCCAUAUCGAAUAAAACAUGAGCUGACAACCCAUUGACCAAAAAGGUCCCUAUACAAGAUCAUAAGAAAUAUAAGCAUAACAAGAAAGAAAUAAAAGAUAGAGUUAAGUCACAUACCAGUAACUACAUCGGGAAUUGAUCGAUCCUCAUCGGUGGUAAACUGAAAUGCUCUCUCUUCACUGCAGGAGUCUCUGCCUUGCCCUGGCGUCCAUAGUGUAUAGGUAAUCCUCAAGGUGGCUGGUGCAGGUGCCUCCACUUCUCUCCCAGACAAACUUAAACACUCGGCCUUUUUAUGGCCAGUCUGGUUGCAGAGAAAACAAAUCAAGCCCCUCUUGGGGCACUCCCUACUCAUGUGGCCCGACUGACCACAACUGUAAGAUACCGAGCCUGCUACCCAAACAUGCCCCACUGUGCGGUUUGUCGCACUUGGCACAACAUGAUGGGUUCUGAGCAUUCUAACACUCCUAUGGUGUACACGCAACCCUAUAAACCUUGGAUCUAUGUUUUCUCUAAUAUUCAUGCAAAUUUGAUUUUUCCAAGGUUCUCAUCCUGCAAGGUUGGGAUGUCAUUUCCUAUGCGUUGUAUGUCAUCCACAUACAAUACCAAAAAACUAACUAUACUCCUACUAGCCUUAACAUAUACACAGGUUUCAUCUUCGCUCCUUGAAAAACCAAACUCUUUGACUUUCUCAUCGAAACAAAGAUUCCAUAUGUGAGAUGCUUGUUUCAAUCCAUAGAUGGAUUUCUCAAGCUUACACACUCUAUUAGCGUGCUUUGCAUCGACAAAACCCUAUGGUUGAAUCAUGUAAACAUCCUCAACCAACUUUCCAUUAAGGAAAGCAUUUUUGACAUCCAUUUGCCAUAUUUCAUAAUCAUGAAAUGCAUCUAUGGCUAACAUGACCCUAAUAGACUUAAUUUUCGCUACUAGUGAGAAGGUCUCAUCAUAGUCAACUCCCGGAGUUUGAGUAAAGCCCUUCACAACCAGUCACGCCUUAUAAGUGUGCACUUUCCCAUCCAUGUCGGUCUUCUUCUUGAAGAUCCAUUUGCGCCCUACCGUCUUACGACCCGGUAUAUUGUCAACCAAGUUCCAAACUUAAUUGUCAUACAUGGAAAGAAUCUCGCUGUCCAUAGCCUCUUUCCAUUUAGCAGACUCGGGGCCUGCCAUGGCUUCCCUGUAGCUGUUAGGUUCAUCCAAAUUUACAAGUGUACUAUCACUGAUAAAUGCAUCACCUUCCGCAGUAAUAUGAAAACCAUAGUAAUGCUCAGGUGGAUUCCUAACUCUUGUAGAACGCCUCAAAGGUACGGACUCAUCAACAUGAGUUUCCUCCUCAGGUUGAUUGUUAGGGUUUAAGGUUCCUUCACCUCUUGACUCUUGAAGUUCUUCAAGGUCAAUUUGCAUCUCACUGUUUCCUUGGGUUAUAAACUCUCUCUCUCUCUCUCUCUCUCUCUCUUUCUCUCUCUCUCUCUCUCAAGACCCCUCUUCUUGCCAUAAAGACCACAUUUUCACUGGGUCUGUAGAAGAAUUAACCAAAGGAUUUCUGUGGGUAGCCGAUGAAAAUACACCGCUCACUACGAGGUUCGAGCUUGUCCUGAGUCUCACGUCUCACGAAAGCCUCGCAACCCCAAAUCUUGAUGUGGUCUAAAUUGGGAACUUUCCCAGUCCACAUCUCGUGAGGUGUUUUGGCAAACUUUUUGGUAGGGACUAGAUUUAGGAUAUGGAUGGCAGUCUCUAAGGCAUACCCCCAGAAUGAGAUUGGUGAUGAAGCUUGACUCAUCAUGGAACGAACCAUGUCUAACAAGUUUCGAUUGCGCCUCUCAGCCACACCAUUAAGUUGUGGUGUUUUGGGAGGUGUCAAUUGUGAAACAAUUCCACAUUCCUUAAGAUAGUCAAGGAACUUUGUGCUAAGAUACUCUCCUCCUCGAUCGGAUCGAAGCAUCUUAAUGUUCCUACCCAGCUGAUUCUCCACUUCCUGUUUAAACUCCUUGAACCUUUCGAAGGUUUCUGACUUAUGCUUGAUUAAGUAGACAUAACCAUAUCUACUGUAAUCAAUGGUAAAACUCACAUGGAAGCAGUUAGCAUCCCUUGUGGCGGUUCUGAAGGGUCCACACACAUCUGUGUGUAUGAGGUCCAACAAACCUUCUCCCCUAGCACAAGUACCAGUGAAUGGUGACUUUGUCAUUUUUCCAAGUAAACAAUACUCGCAACUAUCAUCUGACCUUAAGUCAAAUGACUCCAAGACUCCAGUCUUCUGGAGUUGGCCUAUGCGCUUCUUGUUAACAUGUCCAAGACGACAAUGCCACAAGGAUGCUUUAUCCAAACUAGUGGAAGAAUCGAUACACAAUACAUUAUUUCCUAAGUUGUCUACAACCGACACAGUUUCAUAUACACCAUCACAAGGUAAUGCUUUAAAAUAAAUAACAUUAUUAUAAAAAGCAUUAAUACCACCACAUUCAUUAUCAAAUGAAAAAGUAAACCCUUGUUUCGACAAACUGUGAAAAGAAAUAAUAUUUCUUGUCAUUCCGGACGAGUAAUAACACUUAUUCAAAUCUAACACUAAUCCACUACUUAGUAACAAAGCAUAAACUCCAAUCUUGGUGACAGGUGAAGCUUUCCUAUUCCCCGUGAUCAAGUUUAUCUUUCUGUGCUCCACAACCUCACUUCUUCUUAGGCCUUGCAAAUCAGAACAUAUAUGAAUACCACAACCUGUAUCAAGGACCCAAGAAUUAGUAUGCGGUGAGUUAUUAGACAAUAUAGUGUAAAUACCUGUAUGGGUAGGUUUGACAUUCUCAUCCUUAACAUCUUGCAAGUACUUGGGGCAGUUUCGUUUCUAGUGCCCCUUUUCCUGACAAUAGAAGCAUUGAGCUUCCUUUGGCUUGGAAGAAGGAGUAACAGAACCACCUUUGGUUCCACUUGAAGAGGAUCCAUCAAGAGACUUUCCCUUGGUACCCUUCGAAGGGGUAUUCCUCUUCUUCCCUCUACAUUGCCCGAUUGCCAGAACAGGGGCGGUGUUAGGAGUAGGAGCAGUAACAACCGAGUUACCUUUGAGACCAGUUUCGGUGGUCUUCAAAAGUGUUUGAAGCUUGUUGAGUUUGACCUCCUCCUUGUUCAUGUGAUAGGUCAUUCGAAACUGAUCAUAACAAGUGGGUAAGGAGUGCAGUAUGAUAUCAAUAGCCAACUCCUCCGGGAAGUUCACAUUCAAUUUCAGCAAACGGUCCACAAACCUUUGCAUUUUCUGCAUGUGGCCCGUGAUGGAUUCACCAUCCUUCAUUUGGGUUGUUAUCAUGGAAUAUAUGAUUUCAUACCUCUCUUGAAGAGCACUUUGAUGGUAGCGGUCCAUCAAGUCCAUGUGCAUCUCAAAAAGGUAAAAGUCCUCUUAGGACUUCUGGAGUUCAGCUGUCAUUGUGGCCAACAUGAUACAUGCCACUUUGGUAGCAUCUCUCUCAUGUGCCCUAAAGUCAGUGAUCUCCUCUGGAGUAUCAGUAGACUCAACAAUUUCAUUCAGCUCCUUGUCGAGGACAUAUUCCUUGUCCUCGUAGCACGUGACCAUCCAGAUGUUCUUGAUCCAAUCAUUAAAGUUUGAACCAUCAAAGAUGACUCUCCCACAAAGGUUCAUGAGUGAGAAGGAGCUGGUAGGGUUUGAGCUAGAAACAGCAUUGUUGGAAGACAUCUGAAAAGAAGAAAGACAAGUUUAGAUUAGAUAUAAGAUCCUUAAUAAGACACCCAAAUGUAAUAUUAAGGCUAGGACCUAACACAAUAUUUUAUAACUUGUAAGAGGGAUGCCGUAAUCCAAGCUAUAAAAUAUUUGAAGGUAGGUGAAUGACGAUUCACCAAUAUCCACCAUGAAAAACAAAAUAAAUUAUUAGGUUUUAAUUGGAUUGAAACUCCUAGAUCUUUUGAGAUUCAUUAAACUUUUCAAUGGCAUGUUUAAAUCUCGAUUGUGCCCUCUUAAGUUUGUGAUUGGGAUGCCGAGUAUCACAAACAAGGUGUGAAUAACCAUGCAAAUUAAAUUGGUACCCUUAAUCUUUAUCACCUAAUCAGUGUGUCGGUUACCCACACGCACUCCACCGAUCUAUGAUAAACAUUAAGUCACCCUUUGCCACUCUUAUUAGUCCAUGUUUGUGUGUCGGUUACCCAUACACGCUCCACCAACGACUUGGUAAGGUACGAAGUGUAAUUUCAUGGGUUAGCACCAAUUUCAUAUUUUCCUAAAGUAACUAAGAAUGGGAAUUUAUUAUGAUAAACAUUAAGUCACCCUUUGCCACUCUUAUUAGUCCAUGUUUGUGUGUCGGUUACCCAUACACGCUCCACCAACGACUUGGUAAGGUACGAAGUGUAAUUUCAUGGGUUAGCACCAAUUUCAUAUUUUCCUAAAGUAACUAAGAAUGGGAAUUUAUUAAAAAUUUUAGUUACUUUAUAUUUAUCAUUAUACUUUUAAUGAGAAUUAUAGUCCUUGUCUUACCCGUUCGGCUAACGACCCUUUACCAGUCAAGGAAGUGGUGGGUGAGAGUGGACACCCAUUAAGCUGCCAUUUUAUAGGCAACAACCUUAUUCCCCCUUACAGACUGGCUUCGUGAAUGAGGCCUACUAACGGUAAAACUGACUUGCUCUUAUACAUAUAUAUUAUUAACUUAUAAUACUAUAAAAUAUAAGGGUUGAAUUUUAACUUUUAAAACACUAGGGUUUGGAAUUAUAGUUUUCUAAAGUGACUUUACAAAUUCCAAAACUUGAGGGCAAAUUUUGAAACUAUUCAAAACCUUUUCAACUUCAUAACUUAUGAGUUUAAUGGUCUAUUAAAAUAAAGACUCCUUAUUUUAUGUAACCUUUUCAACUUCAUAACUUAUGAUUUUAUGGACUCCAUUAAUAACAUUUAGUUUAAGAAUUACAUCAUCAAAUAAUUUGCAAACAAUUCCUAUGAUCUUACUAAAACUCAUAAGCAUGCACAUUCAUAUCAGUUAUUUCAAGAAUCAUAUAAACAUAUAUCAAACUUGAAAAUUUGAUUAUAACCAUUGAAAAUGGAUUAGCAUAAUCAUUACACCAUCAAAAUCAGGUUUUAUAAGUCCAAAACAGUUUAAGGUAAUGAUUCUAGUCCAUUUCCAGCAGCAAAACUCGAAAAUCUACACACAGUGCCUCCUACUUGCCGAGUACAAGAACCUACUCGACAAGUAGGAUGCAUUUUCACUUGGACUUGGCGAGUUCACUGUAUAGAUUUUAGAAAUUCAAAUUUUCCAAGCAGUUUGCAUCAAGUAUACAGAAAACAAGCCUAGUCUCGGAUACCAUUGAUGGUUUUUGAGCAUUCUAACACUCCUACGGUGUACAUGCAACCCUAUAAACCUUGGAUCCAUGUUUUAUCUAAUAUUCAUGCAAAUUUGAUUUUUCCAAGGUUCUCAUCCUAACUAGCAUGGCAUGGGGUACUUGUAAUAUAAAAAAUUAGUAGAAUGACAUACCUUUCUUGUAGCUUGGAUUCCUUUAAGACCUUGUGAUCCUAGCACCCUAAAUGUGAUGCCUCAAAUGUUUCACACAACACCACAACUCUUGGAAUAACUUGAGAGAAGAACACUUUCACUCAAAAUCGGCUAGCCCUCCUUGUUCUUGUCUUAGUGCUGAUUUUGCUUACCAUGAGGUUCUUUAUAUAGUGUGUCACAUGUAGGGUUACACCAUGUAAACCCUAAUGUGCAUGGCUUUUCAUUUCCCCCAUGAUCCAUGGGUUUUAACCUCCAUGGAGCAUCCAUGGAGCACCCAAUGGGUCCUAUCCCAAUCUAAUGAAUCAUGGACCAUAAGCCCACUAUAUAAGAAUGAAUGAUUUACAAAUCAAUCCCCAUAUAUUUAAUUAGUCUCUUUUUUAUCACAAAAUUAAUUCCAAAUUAAUUCUUGAUUAAUACUAAUUAAAUAAUAUGAUUUCAUAUUAAUAUAUUAGAACUUAUAAUAUAUUAACAAACCAUAAGUGUCCUUAUUCUCAUUUUGUCUAUCCAAAUGUUAUGAUUCCAUGCAACCCAAAUGGACCAUGCCAAAUUGGGUCAAGUACAUACUAAAUAUAGUUAUGGACUUAGACACCUUAUCCAAAACAACAUCCCUGGCCCUGCAGUCCUAUACUAGAAGUAUCGGAGGUCGUGGGCUUCUUGGCUUGGCCCACUGCUAUCUGCACCUGCUCUGGCUUCCGCUUCGUUCAGAGCUCUAACUAGAUUUUUCGCUCACGUGCCUUCUUAAUCAUAUUAUUCAGGGUCAUGCACCUUGAGAAACUCACGAACUUACUGAUAUCAUCCCUCAGCAUGGCAUGAUAUUUCGUCUUCCUCGUCUCCUCAUCCACAGCAUACUGCGGAACUAGCAAUGCCCUCUGUUGGAUUAAUGUCUAAGUCCAUAACUAUAUUUGGUAAGACUUGACCCGACCCGGCAUGGUCCAUUUGGGUUGCAUACCAUCAUGCACUUGAAUGAGAGAAAUAAGACACUUAUGGUUAUUAAUAUAUUAUAAGUUCUAGUAUAUUAAUAAUAAGAAUAAUAAGAUUAUUUAAUUAGUAUUGAUCAAGAAUUAAUCUAGGAUUAAUUAAGUGAUCAAAAGAAGACUAAUUAAAUAUAUGGGUUGAUUGUGUAAAUCAUCCAUACUUGUAUAGUGGGCUAAUGCUCCAUGGAUAAUCAAGUUGGGCUAAAACCCAUAGGAUGGUUCAUGGAUGCUCCAUGGUGUAUUUGAACCCAUGGAUCCAAGGAAAUGGAAAGUCAUGACAAUUAGGGUUUACCCUAAUUGUAACACUAUAUAAAGAUCUUAUUCUUGACAAAAUUGGCCACUAGUGUUAGUGAAAAAAGGGCUAGCCGAUUUUGAAGAGUGUAGAAUUCUCUCAAGUCAUUCCAAGUGUUUUGAUGAUUGUGAUUCCAUUUGAGGUGUCACACUUGGGGCACUAGGUACUCAAGCUUCAUGAAGACUUUCUACAUCAAAGAGGUAUGUAUUCUAUCUUGCUAUAGUUAUUGUUUUGUAUGCUAGAUUAGGAUAAUACCUUGGAAGUUCUUAUUUGCAUGUAUAAUAGAGAAAACAUAGAUCCAAGGUAUUUAGGGUUGCAUGUACACUUAGGAAGUGUUAGAAUGCUCAAAACCCAACAGUGGUAUCAGAGCCACGGGUUGUUUUCUGUUAUAUUGAUGCAAAUAUUUUAUUUUCAAAGUUGAAAAAAAAAAAAAAAAAAAACAUGAAGUUUGUCAAAUUUUAAGAUAAUUACUUGUUCUUGUGAAAAACUAAUUAUUUGUAAAAUUUGAAUAAUUUGCUUUAUGAGUUGAAUUAGGUCAAAUUUAAUAAAAGAUAAAAUAAUAUGAUUAUUUUAUUAGUUUUAAAAGUUUGAUCUAAAGAGUUUUAUUUUUUGAAACCUCCAUAAGUUAUGGAUAUGAAAAGGUUUUAAAAAAAAAAUUGAUUCAAAGUUUUUUUGGAGUUACAAAAUUUGGUGUUAAUGUUUUAAAGGAUUCCAUAACUUAAGAAUAAGUUAUGGAUCACCAAAAGUUUUUUGUGUUACCUUGUUUUAUGAGUGAAUUUAGAUUAAUGAAUAAAAUUAUGUGAUAGUUGGUUUUAAUCCAAAUUAAUCUAAGAAUUGAUUCUAAAAUGUGUUUUUGUAACUUGUCCUCAAGUUAUAUGAAAAGUCACAUUUAAGAAUCAUAAAACUCAUAAAAAUUGGCAAAGGUUACAAAAAUGAAGAGUCUAGUUCUAAUUAAAUGGUUUUAUGACUCCAUAACUUGUCCUCAAGUUAUGGAGGACCAAGAGUCUCUUCAUUUAAUAAAAUAAAAUAAAAAAAAAAAAAGUGUAACCUUAAUUAAUUCCAUAAGUUAUAAAAUAAAGAAAAGUUAAUUCUUUUAUUAGUUUAAAGUCUUCCAUAACUUGUCCUCAAGUUAUGGAACUUGAAGAGUUUUUGGAUUAAAACUACUUUAAACACAUAAGUUAUGGAAUUAAUUAGUUUUGAAUAGUUUCAAAACUUGCCCUCAAGUUUUGGAAUUUGUAAAGUUUUCACUUAUGAAUACUUUAAUUCCAAGUUAGCCCUUAGAAUUUUAAAAGUUAAAAUUCAACCCUUAUACUUUAUAAUAUUAUAAGUUAAUAAUAUAUAUAUGUAUAAGAGUAAAGUCAGUCUUACCGCUAGUACGCCUCAUUCACGAAGCCGGUCUAUAAGGUGGGUAUAAGGUUGUUGCCUAUAAAAUGGCAACUUAAUGGGUGUCCACUCUCACCCACCGCUUGCUUGACUGGUGGAGGGUCGUUAGCCGAACGGGUUUGACAGGACUAGAAUUCUCCCUUCAUUAAAAGUAUUAAUGAUAAUACUAAGUAACUAAACUCUUAAUAAUACCCAAUCUUAGUUACUUAGGAAAAAUGUGAAUAAGGUGCUAAUCCAUGAAAUUACACUUUACACUUUGUCUAAGUCGUUAGUGGAGCGUGUGUGGUUAACCGGCACACUAACUUGGACUUAACAAGGUAGGUAAAGGGUGACUUAAUAUUUAUCAUAGUAUCGAUGGAGCGUGUGUGGUUAACCGGCACAUCGAUUGAGGGGUAAUUUAUUAAGGGUACCAAGUGAUUUGCAUGGUUACUUCACACCUUGUUUUGUGAUCCUCGGCAUCCCAGUCACAAAACCUGAAGGGCACACUCGAGAUUGAAACAUGCCUUUGAACAGUUCAAUGAAUCUCAAAGAUCUAGGAGUUUCAAAACCAAUUAAAACCUAAUAAUACAUUUCGUUUAUCUUGGUGGAAAUUGGUGAAUCGUCAUUCACCUACCUUCAAAUAUUUUAUAGCUUGGAUUACGGCAUACCUCUUCUAAGUUAUAAAAUAGUUUGUUGGGUCCUAGCCUUAAUAUUUCAUAUUGGGUGUCAUAUUAAGGACUUUAAAUCAACUAUCUUGAAUAUCUCCCAAAAGAUGUCUGUAAUAGACACCUAUGAUCUUCCCAAAUCUAGUGAAACAAGGUUUCCUAAAUGAAGAUGAUGUCCUUUGGAAAUCAUACUUCUUUCACCUCCUCCAAUUAUUCUCCCUAACCCACAAGUUCUUGAAAAGUUUAAGGUCACUCAAGCCCUAUUGGCAAGGCAAGGUCUAGGUGUGAUCACAUCUUGGAGAUGUAGUCACAUAUUGACAAGCCGGGAGAGUUGGGUGUCAAAGUCUUGAGAAAGUUGGUGGUUCAAUCACUUUCUAAGUCACAUAGUGAGUUCCUUUGGGACACCUAUGAAACAGACUAUGACAAGACCCUUAAUGAUCUUAUCUAUUUGCUAAGAUCAACUUCCUAAAACUUUAUGGACAUUGACAAUGAUGACAUUGGAUAUCCAGUAAAGCAUUCUCUUCCCAAUGGAAAGGGAUCGGCCAUAGUCAACUCGGUUGACCAAAUGGUAAAGAGAAAAGCUAAGUCUGUGAUAGUCUCGUGUACCAUUAUCAAAGGGUCCAUAUGUUUAUAUUGCCAAAGGAAGGGGCAUUGGUUGCGAAGCUGCCAAAUUUACCUAAGGAUGUUAAAGUCAAUAAGUUUGACUCUACUUCAGGUAAAGUCCACUAUCUAACUCUGUUAAGUUUCUAUUCUGAGAUUCCUGAUACAUGAUGUGACUGGGUCACAUGGUGAUGUUUUAAGAAUCAAAGAAAAGUGAAGAAACUUAAAGAAAGAAUAUGCUGAAUCUGAUGGCGUAGAUGGAUUUCUAUCGCAUAGUUUGAAGAUCGGAUUCUUGAGCAACUUCUUAGGAGUUAUGAGAUAUUGCUUAGGAAUAGAUAACAACAAGUUUUCAUAUGGAUUGUAAGGAUAAGUUUUUCCGCAAAGUUUUAAAAUAAAAGAAAAUUUUUUUGAUUUUAUUUAUUUUAAAAUAUCCUUACAAUGGCUUUUGAGGAAAAAUUGUUGCUUAUAUGAUUCCAUUAAGAGCAAGAGUGGAAAUAUGAAAUUGAUUCUUUCAUUUGUGGUAAUGUCUAGAUUUACCAAAUAAGGAAAGAUUCUCAUCACCCAAGUUUCAAUUGGACCGGAACUUGGAAUCAUGCAAGUUGUAUAGCAUGAUGAAUGAGAACUUUCAAGUUUUGGAAAAUUAAGACUAAUUACUCGGCCACAUGGAUGUGUGAGUCAAGUAAAGGACUAAGGGAUCGAGUACACAUUCUUGUGCACUGAUUAAGUCCACCACAAAAGAUUGAUAAGACUAUUCGUCAUAGUUUACUAAAGCUCAGUAAAUAUGAUUAUACUUACAAGCUUAAGUGUAACUCUGAGACAUUGGAAAAGGUUCCAAUGUAUGGCAGAGCGAAUAAGAAGAAUCAAAUUAGGCAGAAGGAUAAAAGUUUCUCAAAUCUGAAAAGAUGGGAGAGUACUUUAGUAUCAGUUUUGUGAUCAUCUUAAUGAUUAAGAAACCAUAUCAAAAUUAGUUCUCUAAGGAAAUCUUAGUGCAUUCUUAUGACUAAGAAGAGGAACUUGAAUUGUUGAAAUGGUUAAAUCAAGAAGAUGAGUCAUACUUCGUUCCAAUACAAGUCUUAGAGUCAUACUCCAAGAUUGUCAUUUGAGUGACAUGUCUUAAAGAAGGUUUAAAACACUUGUCAAAUGUAAGAGUAAAAGUUUUCUACUCUUGUACAUUUGAAAUUGGUAAGUUGUGAUGUUUUGGAUAAAACAAAGACCAACUUAGGCCAAUUGGGUAAAGUGUUUUUCUUGAUUAGAAUCCGCACUAUCUCUUGGAUGUUUGACAAGGGAGUCUUAUAUGUCAAGAGGACAGUGGGAGUCUUAAAGGUCUUGAAAGUCUCAAGAACUAAUCAAGAAUAAAACCUGAAGUUCUUCACUAGCACACGACUUGAGGUUCAUAACCUAUCGUGUUGACAUAUUCUGUGCCCAUUCCAGUUAAAGUUGGCUUUGCAUAUGAGUUCUUAGAGUUCUCAAUUUGUUGCACAACAACUUGGAAGCAAUGGUAGGCCCUUGAGCUGCCAGGUGGCAAGAAAUUAAGAUUGAGUUCAGUCCAUAUGAGUUUGGAUUUGUCAUUAUCCUUGUCUUGUGACUAUGAUUUUGACAAUUCACAUGGAUAAGAACACAUACACCAUUAAAUCUAAGUGUCAUAAGGUUUCUCUCCGAUUCAUGAAAAUGAUGGUGAGGAAACACUUUCACUAAGUAGAUUUUAGCUAGAUAGCAAUUGUGAUAUUUGCAUUCUCAAAGUCGUUAGUGGAGCGCGUGUGGUUAACCGGCACACUAAUUUGGACUUGUGAGAAGUGGCAAAAAGGUCUAAACAUUAUGAUUACGGCAUCCCUCUUCAUAAUUGUUUAGAUACACAAGUGUGCUAUCUAAGGGAAGGUGUAUGAUUUUGAUAAAGUUUUAUCAAAACAAUCUAGCAUCAGAAAUCUGAACUUUGGUAAGAAAGUCAAUGAAGUAUUGAUUUCUAGAAGUCCAGCUGAUUUCUGAGUACAUGUCAAAGCUAGUGGGAGCAUAAGUGUUAUGCUAAUAAUCAUCAUGUUAGUGGGAGCAUGAUAAUUAUGAUAAGUAUUGCAAGUUAGCAAUGUUAAUUAUAGAAAACAAAAGUUUCAAUUGGGAAAAAGUUGUUUUGCUAUAAUUAAGGGAGAGGAAAUUAUGCUUCAUCUCAAAUCUAUAAGCUUAGAUCGUGAGGUUUUAAUCAUUUAGUCAAGGAUAUAUAUGAAUUUCAUGUUGGAAUGGCUCAACAUAAGGAAAUUCUGUAUAUGGGUCCAUUAUUUGCGUUCUAAAAUUCGAUUAUGAUUACGGCAUCCCUUUUCAUAAUCUGAAUUAUGAGAACUUGGCAAAUUGAAAUGGAAAUGUUAUAGCAAAAGACUGGUUUAGUCUUUAUGUGAGACAUCAUGAAUCGUGUCCCAUAUGCUUCGGAUAUAGGAUCGAUUACAUGUGCUAUAUUCAUCCGUUCUAAAAUUUUCCAAAUGCCUGGGGCAUUAAGAAGGGAAAAGGUUUAGAACUGGAUAUGACUAAAAGGAUUAAACAAUUGUCGAGGACAAUCUAAGGUUUACCAAAGAUUGGUUGCUCAAGGACAGUUGGAAGUAUAGUGAUAAUUCUGGAAGGACCAUAUUGACAUAAUCUGUAAGGAGGCAACUCUUGUUCAGAAGUGAUAGUCAAAAUGGAAUCUGGAAAUGUUUCAAAGUUAGAAUUUUCAAUCUGUUUAAGAUUAGGAAACUUAAUGCAAGAAGGAUGUUUCCAAGGAGCUGAUCUCCUUUGGAAUACUCUGUAAUGAUUGUUGUCAAGUCUUUCUGACUUUGUGCAUAAUCAUUACAAGAGGAUCAAUGCAUAUAAGUUUAGAAUCUAACAGAUUUCAGUAAAUGGCAUGAAUUUGGAAUUCUUGCAUUUGCAGUAAGGAUUUGGGAGUGUGAAAAGAGAAUCAUUGAAGUUAUGUUCAAUUGAUCUAGUUCACAAAGUAAAGAUCAUAGACAAACAUAGUAUGCAUACUUGGUGUGUGGCAUGACUAGUGUUUAAGAAAACAUAGUGUACAUGCUUGGAGCAUGGGACAACUAUUGUUUUAAAUUCAAGAAUAAAGUUGAUAGCUGAAACAGUAUACAAUGAAUAAUGUGUAAUCAUAUGGUGAUAAAUAAAAGGUGUUUUAUUUAUGUUCAAAGGGUUGAUACCAUAUUGGAUUCAAUUAUUAUUGUGUUUCACUUUGCAUGUUUUGACUUCCCGAAUAAACUAGGUUAUUCUUCCGGAAUGACUAAGUUAUUCAAACCAUCCACAGUCGGUCAUAUGUUGGAAGUAGAUAUGAAUUAAGACUGUCAUGGGUUGGCUUGUAGAGGUCUAAGGUGUUGGACAAAGGGCUACAACACUCAUGAGUGCUCAUAAGUUCUGAGUAUUGGAUUCAACCCGCGCUCAUUGGAAUCACUUCAUGGAUUUUAUCACGAGUGAUCAUGAGACGAUAAUAUCUUAUAUUCUUCAAACCUAGAGAUAUGAGUUGUUACUAUGAGUUGAUAGUACAUUGAUUGCACGAAAACGCAUUUGGUAACUCGGUGCUAUAAAACGUGCCUUUGUGUAUGAUUCAACAAGUAGUAGAACAAGCCAUAUGAGUCGAAGUUUAUCCGUUCCUUUUACCUUCGGGAUAAAAGCGAUAUCUGUGGGCCCCUCGAUGAUUUGAUGAUGACAAAUGGAAGUGCUCGGCCGGGCCAGGACUGAUUUGAUUUGUUCAAUUAGUCAGUCGUCAUAAAUCGGAAAUCGGGAAACAACAAAUGGACAGAGAGAAUGAUUAUAAUCCAUGUCUCAGUCCAUAUGAUAUCUAGAAUGGAGGAAUAUAUGAUCCCUUAUCUAAUGGACAAGUCACUGACAAAGGUCAGAGUUCAUCUACAAGGUCAGAGUUCGACAGAAGCUUUUGAGAGCUACGAUUGCCGGUUGGUUCCUGAAGUCAUACGCAAUAAUAGUUUUAGACUUAUCCAAGUGGGAGACUGUUGGAUUAAUGUCUAAGUCCAUAACUAUAUUUGGUAAGACUUGACCCGACCCGGCAUGGUCCAUUUGGGUUGCAUACCAUCAUGCACUUGAAUGAGAGAAAUAAGACACUUAUGGUUAUUAAUAUAUUAUAAGUUCUAGUAUAUUAAUAAUAAGAAUAAUAAGAUUAUUUAAUUAGUAUUGAUCAAGAAUUAAUCUAGGAUUAAUUAAGUGAUCAAAAGAAGACUAAUUAAAUAUAUGGGUUGAUUGUGUAAAUCAUCCAUACUUGUAUAGUGGGCUAAUGCUCCAUGGAUAAUCAAGUUGGGCUAAAACCCAUAGGAUGGUCCAUGGAUGCUCCAUGGUGUAUUUGAACCCAUGGAUCCAAGGAAAUGGAAAGUCAUGACAAUUAGGGUUUACCCUAAUUGUAACACUAUAUAAAGAUCUUAUUCUUGACAAAAUUGGCCACUAGAGAUAGUGAAGAAAGGGCUAGCUGAUUUUGAAGAGUGUAGAAUUCUCUCAAGUCAUUCUAAGUGUUUUGAUGAUUGUGAUUCCAUUUGAGGUGUCACACUUGGGGCACUAGGUACUCAAGCUUCAUGAAGACUUUCUACAUUAAAGAGGUAUGUAUUCUAUCUUGCUAUAGUUAUUGUUUUGUAUGCUAGAUUAGGAUAAUACCUUGGAAGUUCUUAUUUUCAUGUAUAAUAGAGAAAACAUAGAUCCAAGGUAUUUAGGGUUGCAUGUACACUUAGGAAGUGUUAGAAUGCUCAAAACCCAACACCCUCUCCCUGAAUUUGUUGGUGAUCUCCACCAUAGUAUGUAUAGUCUGGUGAAGGUCCUGGAACUCCCUCACCAGCUGUUGCACCUCAAUGGCCGGUGUAGACUCCUGAUAGAACCUCUGCACAAAGUCCUCCCAAGUUAUCACUAUAACAGUCGUCGUUCCAACUGCUCGGGUAACCUCCUCCCACCAGUCCCACACUCUGUCCCUCAACAAGCAGGACGUGAAUCCCACAUUUACCGCCUCAUGGCAAAAGCUCGUGCACUGAUCAUUCUCCAUGUCAGCGUCCAACGACGGCUAGCCAUGGCGUCCUUAGCCCCAAAGAACUCAGGCGCUCUGUAUGCCUUGAACUCCCGGAACGAGGGAGUUCGGGUCCUAAUCUGACCUGCGACAAUCUGGCUUGAAAUGAUCUAAUCCGCUCCUCCAUGAUCUCCAUAAUCCCCUCCUUGAUUAUAUCGAAAAUCACCGGGGUAGCGUCACAGAUGUCGUGAGUAACCUCGGUUGCGAUAAGCUCGCACAACCUCACAUCAAUCGGCUCCGCAUCGGAACCUGAUCCCGAACCUAAACCUCCUAGUGUAGUUAUCACCAUCCUUAACUGAAAAUACAACAAAGAAACGAUUGAUAAUGAAUUUCAAAGGGAAUCCUCCUCAUCGGAUUCCUUAGAGUUUCCCGGUCUGCUCUUAUCUCGGGUACAAGUCAUGUGCUUUUAGUAGUACGGGCCCAAUACUACCUUCCACACCUACCCGUACCUUCUUCCAGGUCAAACCUGAUACCUCUAAUUCACCCAGCUAUACUCAGAAAAUAACUCAUACAGCACAGCACACACACAUUUCCUAGACUCUUCUAGGAUUUCUCAAUCCUUAUAGAACCAAAAACCUCAAUCAACACUACAGGUUGCCUUAUGCAUGCAAGUUAUACACAAAUAGAAUCACAUAGACUGUUAAAUAAAGUUUCUACCCUAAGUCCACAACUAAACAAGGAAAAGGAAAUGAGGAAGAAUCCAUCAUUCUAGGGCUACGCAAUCCUAAUCGUAUAUAACCUUGAAAGCAUACACUUAGCAAAUACAGAGUCAACAUUGAUUCAAAGAAAUAUAUGGCAUCAAAUUUUCCUAGGCUAUAAGGCAUCACAAAAAUCAUGCAAUUUUGUCACAUAAUCCCUGAAGGUAUCCUUAGCCUUACUUGUAACAACGCAAAUUUUCAAACAAAUUUUUUUUUCAUUUUAAAAAUAUAUUUAUUUCCAUUCAAAACAAGGCAUAAAUAGUUUAAGUAUUCUGUCAAAUACAAAUAAUCAAAAUCCCAAGAUCAUAAAAGCAUUCUUCAGUGUGUAUCGAUCACGCUGGCGCCUUCCCACGGUCCUCGCUAGUACCUGAAAUACAUGCACAACAACUGUAAGCAUAAAUGCUUAGUGAGUUCCCCAAUAUACAACUUACGCACAUACGCCUUUCCAGGCCCGACCUUCCGGUCCAUGUGUCUCAGGGGACUUCCUUCCCUGCUGGGUAAACCUUCCGGCCUUACCCACGCCGACCUUCCGGUCCAUCACACAACAUAUCGCCUUCCGGCCCAUAACAUAUUGCCUUCCGGCCCAUAAUAUAAUCGCCUUCCGGCCCAUAACAUACAUAGCACAUAUAACAAAUAACUUACCACAUAUAGCAUACAUAUCACAUAUCAUAUCCGACCUUCCGGUCACACAGUCAAACCCUUCCGGGUACAGUAUAGUGAGAAGACUCACCUCGUAAAAGCUGAAAGCUAGCAAAUCCCGAAAUGACUCGUGCACAACCGACGAGCUACAACCUCCCUAUAACAUCACAUAUCUCAUUAAUACUUAUAUCUUCUAAGUGUGACUAUCCCUAAGAAGUCAGACUUAGGUCAACUCUGGUCAACGGUCAACUGGCCACUCGACCGGACUCGGCGAGUACCAUGGCGACUCGGCGAGUCUAGUCGUCCUCACAAAUUCCUGAAUAUUCCCUUUCUACUCGUCGAGUAUCCCUCUUGACUCGACGAGGUCCUCGUGGAAGAAUCGCGGGGCCACCCCGACUCCACUCGCCGAGUCUGAUGAACAACUCGGCGAGUCCCAGUAAAUCUUCAAGCUACUCGCCGAGUCUGAAGAACAACUCGGCGAGUCCAUGCCAUGCAGACGAGUAACUGCUUCCUGAGAUAGGUCUCGUCCCGAAGUACACAUGCAUGGGACCUUCUGGACCUCUAAAGGUCCUACUACAAGAUUAUAGUCGUGGGGUAACAAGGCACUACUUCAUCAAAUCACUAAAUGGGUUCUAUAAACCCUAAUUUCAUAAAUACAUCAAUAUAGCAGAGCAUACACGAAUUCUUACCUGGAUGAUGUAUUCUCUGUAUUCCCAAUCCUCAGAAUGUGACCCCUUGCUGCUCCUUUAGCCAAUCCUUCCUCUUCCUUGCACAACCACUCUUCUAUAACCAACAAUGGCCUAAGAUCCUUGCUCCUGCUGCACUAAAUCGAUUUAGGGUUCUUCUCAGAAGGCUAAAACGAACAAUGACGGCCAAUGGGUCCCUUUUAUACGUCCCAAACCUGAACGGUUAGGGUUUCCGCUAAACAGCGUCGACUCGCCGAGUCCAUACCUGGACUCGUCGAGUCCAGUCGCGAUCCCGCGACCAAGUCUGCGAUCCUACUCGGCGAGUCUAGGCUCCAACUCGCCGAGUCCCCUCUUAAAUCACCCCAAAAACAUAAUUUUAAUAAUACCUGAGAUUCCGGGCUGUUACAACUCUCCCCCACUUGGAUUAGACUUCGCCCUCGAAGUCUCACUCUGCAAAUAGUUCCGGAUGCUGCUCCCGCAUUUCGCGCUCCGGUUCCCAAGUCAUUUCUGAUCCCUUACGGUGUUGCCAUUGAACCAACACCAGAGGUACCUCCUUGUUCCUCAGAACCUUGAUCUUCCGAUCCCUGAUAGCCACUGGUCUCUCCGCGUAAUUCAGGCUCGCAUCCACCUGAAUAUCCUCCAAUGGAACCACUGCCGACUCAUCGGCUAUGCACUUCCUCAACUGCGACACAUGAAAAGUGUCAUGGAUCUGACCCAACUCCGCUGGCAACUCCAACCGAUAGGCUACCCGACCUAUCCUUGCAAUCACACGAAAUGGCCCAAUAUACCGGGGCCCCAACUUGCCUCUCUUCCUGAACCGAAUCACUCCUUUCCAAGGAGAGACCUUCAGGAGAACGAAGUCGCCGACUUGAAAUUCAAGCUCGGAUCGGCGCCUGUCUGCAUAACUCUUCUGUCGGCUCUGGGCAGUCAAUAAUCUUUGUCUCACUUGUUGAAUCUGCUCUGUCGUCUGGAGUAUGAUCUCCGUGCUGCCCAUCACUCUCUGUCCCACCUCUCCCCAGCAAAUGGGAGUCCGACACCUCCUACCAUACAACAGCUCGAAAGGCGGCAUACCAAUGCUCGAAUGAUGGCUGUUGUUGUAGGAAAACUCUGCCAAUGGUAAAUACGCAUCCCAACUACCCCCGAAGUCUAACACACACGCUCGGAGCAUGUCCUCCAGUGUCUGAAUUGUCCGCUCGCUCUGACCGUCUGUCUGGGGAUGGUAUGCGGUACUAAAAUGCAAUUUAGUACCCAGCUCCUCAUGGAAUUUCUUCCAGAAUCUGGAAGUAAAGCGCACAUCACGGUCUGACACAAUCGAGAUCGGCACCCCGUGCCGAGACACCACCUCUCUCACGUAUAUCUCCGCCAAUUUCUCCGCCGAAGAACUCUCACUGAUGGCAAGGAAGUGUGCACUCUUUGUCAACCUAUCCACGAUCACCCAAAUUGCGUCAACUCCCCUAGCAGUCCUCGGCAAUUUGGUGAUAAAAUCCAUAGUAAUCUGUUCCCACUUCCACUCGGGGAUCUCCAAUGGCUGUAACUUGCCAUGCGGUCUCUGGUGCUCAGCCUUAACCCUACGGCAGGUCAAGCACCUCUCAACGAACCAUGCCACGUCCCUCUUCAUACAGGGCCACCAAUAUUCCUUCCUUAAAUCCAAAUACAUCUUUGUAGCACCGGGAUGGAUCGAGAAUUUCGAUUUAUGAGCCUCUUCCAUCAACGUAAUACGCGUACCGCCCACGAACGGCACCCAAAUCCGACCCUGAAACGUCAUAAGGCCUCGACUAUCCUUGACAAACUCUGAGAUUAACCCCACAACCCGCUCUUUCUUCUGCAUUUCUGGUCGCACAGCCUCAGCCUGGGCCCCACGAAUAGCGUCCAAUACUGGAGUCAUCACAGUCAGUCUCAAGCAUACGUCUCGCAAUGGAGUGCUCUCCGCCCUGCGGCUCAAUGCAUCGGCUACCACAUUAGCCUUGCCUGGGUGGUACAGGAUCUCACAAUCAUAAUCCUUGACCACAUCCAACCACCUCCUCUGACGCAUAUUUAGGUUGGGUUGAUCCAUCAAAUACUUCAAACUCUUAUGGUCCGUGUAUAUCGUACAUCGAACCCCAUACAAGUAGUGACGCCAAAUCUUGAGAGCGAACACUACUGCCCCCAACUCUAAAUCAUGCGUGGGAUAUCUCGCCUCAUGAGGCUUCAGCUGCCUCGACGCAUAAGCUAUCACAUGACCCCUCUGCAUCAACACUGCACCCAAUCCCGAAAUCGAUGCGUCGCAAUAUACCACGAAAUCUUCCAUCCCUUCUGGGAGAGCUAAUACCGGGGCUUCGCACAAUCUCUGGCGAAGUGUCUCAAAGGAGGUCUGCUGCUCGGGCCCCCAUGAGAAUGUAACACCCUUCCGGGUCAAUCUGGUGAGUGGCACUGCGAUCUUGGAGAAAUCCUUGAUAAAUCUCCGAUAAUACCCUGCCAACCCAAGGAAACUUCUGAUCUCAGAGGGUGACUUCGGCACCUCCCAACUCAUCACCGCCUCAACCUUGGCCGGAUCGACCAAUAUCCCUUUCUGAUUAACCACAUGUCCUAGAAACUGGACCUCCCGCAACCAGAAGUCACAUUUGGAGAACUUUGCAUAAAGCUUCUCCGACCUCAAUACCUCCAGGACCUCCCUCAAAUGCUCCUCAUGCUGCUCUCUAGAUCUCGAAUACACCAGAAUGUCGUCGAUAAAUACAAUCACUGACCGAUCCAACAUCGGCCUGCAUACCCUGUUCAUGAGAUCCAUGAACACAGCCGGGGCAUUGGUGAGUCCAAAAGGCAUCACCACAAACUCAUAAUGCCCAUAUCGCGUCCUAAACGCUGUCUUCUGGACGUCUUCAUCCCGUACUCUCACCUGAUGGUAUCCUGACCUCAGAUCGAUCUUGGAAAACCAAGAUGCUCCCUGCAACUGAUCGAAUAAAUCAUCGAUCCUCGGCAACGGGUAACGGUUCUUGACCGUUAGCUUGUUCAACUCCCGGUAAUCAAUGCACAUCCGGUGUGAACCAUCCUUCUUCUUGACGAACAGAAUAGGUGCUCCCCAUGGCGAGCUGCUCGGCCGAAUGAAUCCCUUUCCCAGCAACUCCUGGAGUUGCGAGGACAACUCUUGCAUCUCUGGAGGUGCAAGACGAUAGGGCACUUUAGCAAUAGGCGCUGCCCCCGGAACCAGAUCGAUACUAAACUCUACUUGCCUCACAGGCGGUACUCCCGGCAACUCCUCGGGAAAGACAUCUGAAAACUCGCGCACCACCGGAACUUCCUCAACUGACUUCGGUUUCUCAGAAACCUCCCGCGUAUCCAUCACAUACGCCACGAAACCCUUACAGCCCUGUCGUAGACACUGCCUCGCCCUAGCGGCCGAACAAAAAGCUGAUCCCGAACGGGUACCCUCGCCGUAUACCGAAAGAACUCCCCCUCUAGGGUCUCGUAUAGUCACCAACUGACGCUCACAGUCGAUGACAGCGCCGAACCGGCUCAGCCAGUCCAUGCCCACGAUGACACAGACAUCCCCCAUCGCGAUAGGAAUCAGAUCAAUCGGGAAUCCAACCCCGAAAAUCUCUAGUACACAUCCCCGAAGAACCUCCGUAGCACAAAUCACCUUCUCGUCAGCUAUAGAGACUCUCAAAGGUCGACUCAACGACUCACGACUAACGCCAAUAUGCUGACUAAAGGCCAAGGACACAAAGGACCUACUCGCACCCGAGUCAAAUAACACUAAGGCAGGCACAGAGUUCACAAGGAAAGUACCUACGCGCAUAAUAACAUAAGCAUAACAUAUCGACAUUAAAAUAAUUACAUGAAUUACAACAUACCUGCCACAACAUCGGGCGCAGCGCGGACCUCUUCCGCAGUCAGCUGAAAGGCUCUUCCCCGAGCCCUCGGGGCCUCGGCCUUCACCGGUCGAGUCGCAGUAACUCCGGCAGCAGGUGCAGAUCCCUGAAGAAGCUGAGGGCACUCGGCCUUCCUAUGGCCAGUCUGGUUGCAAUGAAAGCAAACCGAAAAUCCCUUGGGGCACUCCCUAGCAAUGUGCCCCUCCUUGCCACACUUGUAGCAAGCACCAGAUCGACAUACUCCAUCAUGACUCUUGCCGCACUUCCCGCAAGUGCGACCCUUCGAACCUCCUGUCCUCGAAUCAGCGGACUUGGUCCGCUUGGCUGCCGGCUGGAACUGAGCCGGUCGCCGAUCCACCCGCUGAGACUCGGCCUCCUCCCUAGCCUGGGUCUCCAACUCGAUCUCGCGCUUCCUGGCAUUCGCCUGAAGCUCAGCAAAAGUAUGGUAAGUGGAGUUUGACACAAACUCCCGAAUAUCCCUCCUCAAGACACCCAAGUAUCGGCUCAUCCGAGCCUGCUCUGAGGACACCAGCUCAGGGCAAAACAUCGCCCUCUCAUGAAACUUCCGUGUAAUCACCGCAACAGAAUCGGUACCCUGCUUGAGGGUUAAGAACUCCUGCACCAAUCGUUCCCUCUCCACCGGGGGAACGUACUCAUCCCUGAACAUGGCAGUAAACCCCUCCCAUGUCACCGCUGUAGUCUCUGCCAAAGUGAAAUUCGCUGUCACGAACUUCCACCAGUCCUUCGCUCCCAGACGGAGCUGGUUCAAAGCGAACCGUACCCUCAGGUGCUCCGGGCAUGAACAAGUAUAGAAGCACCCCUCUAUAUCUGCGAUCCACCUCAUCGCAGCAAUCGGAUCCUGCGUCCCAUCGAACUCUGGUGGCUUCGUGUUGCUGAACUCUCGGAACAGCAAUGAAUCACCCCCCUGUGGCCUAGCAGCGGCCACAGCUGCGGUAGCUGCAGCGGUUGCAGCCUCAGUCAAUGCGGCGUACCGCUCGUCGAACGUCUCCAUCAGGGUGGUCUUGAUAGACCCAAACAUCUCCGGGAUCUCAGCCCGGAUCGCCGCCGCCACCUCCUCGUGGAUCAUCUGACGAAUAUCCUCGUCACUCACACCGCUCGUACUUGCCCCGUGCCGCGGUCUAACCAUGAUAUCUCUGAAAUACAACAUAAAACUAUCAGAGAUUCUACCGAGUAUAAUCGUACUCGACACGCAACCCUACUCAGUCCCAGAUAUCCAGGGAUUCUUACUUGGGCCUCCCACUGACCCGGUGUCCUCGGUAGUACGGGCCCAAUACUACCGACCACACCGCAUCAAUGUUCAUCCCAAGUCCUCCUCCCCAAACUCCAGAUAGUGAGUACUCUACUUCUGAUACGCUCUAUCUACCCGCAUACUAGCAAAGCAUCUCAUAUAGGCAACUUCCCUAGACUAAGGCAUCACAAAUCAGGCCACUCUAGUCCUAUCAUGAAUACCUAGUCUUCUAGCAUGCAUAACAAUUCAUAUCAUAUAAUAUUGUAAGGUAUUUUGGGGAUCUUUACCGUUCGGGCGCUGACUGAUCGUACACACUGCUUCUUUCUUGCUUACCACAAAACCAUUUACAAAAGUUUAUGCCUUUAUUUGAAAAGUUUUCUCAAAUCCUCGGUUUGAGUUCAGUUACCCCCGAAGGUGCACCCGAAUCCCUCAAACCAAGGCUCUGAUACCAAUUGUAACAACUCAAAUUUUUCAAACAAAUUUUUCAUUUUUAAAACAUAAUUAUUUCCAUUAAAAACAAGGCAUAAACAGUUCAAUUAUUCGGUCAAUACAAUUAUUCAAACUCCCAAGAUCAUAAAACAAUCUUCAGUGUGUAUCGAUCAUGCCGGCGCCUUCCCACGGUCCUCACUAGUACCUGAAAUACAUGCACAACAACUGUAAGCAUAAAUGCUUAGUGAGUUCCCCAAUAUACACUUACGCACAUACGCCUUUCCAGGCCCUGACCUUCCGGUCCUCAUUACAACGCCUUCCGGCCCAUAACAUAAUCGCCUUCCGGCCCAUAACAUAUUGCCUUCCGGCCCACAUAUCAUACAUAGCACAUAUAACACUUAACUUACCACAUAUAGCAUACAUAUCCAUAUAACACUUAACUUACCACUUAUAGCAUACAUAUCCAUAUAACACUUAACUUACCACUUAUAGCAUAUAAACAUAAUACAUAACAUACUUGACCUUCCGGUCACACAGUCAAACCCUUCCGGGUACAGUAUAGUGAGAAGACUCACCUCGUAAGUGCUGAAAGCUAGCAACUCCUGAAAUCACUCGCGCACAAACCAACGAGCUACAACCCUCCUAUAACAUUACAUAACUCAUUAACACUCAUAUCAUCUAAGUGUGACUAUCCCUAAGAAGUCAGACUUAGGUCAACUCUGGUCAACGGUCAACGGUCAACUCGACUGGACUCGGCGAGUACCAUGGCGACUCGGCGAGUCUAGUCGUCCUCACAGAUUCCUGAAUAUUCCCUUUCUACUCGUCGAGUAUACCUCUUGACUCGACGAGGUCCUCGUGGAAGAAUCGCGGGGCCACCCCGACUCCACUCGCCGAGUCUGAUGAACAACUCGGCGAGUCCCAGCACAUCUUCAAGCUACUCGCCGAGUCUGAAGAACAACUCGGCGAGUCCAUGCCAUGCAGACGAGUAACUGCUUCCUGGGAUAGGUCUCGUCCCGAAGUACACAUGCAUGGGACCUUCUGGACCUCUAAAGGUCCUAAUACAAGACUAUAAUCGUGGGGUAACAAGGCAUUUCUUCAUCAAAUCACUAAAUGGGUUCUAUAAACCCUAAUUUCAUAAAUACAUCAAAAUAACAGAUUUGGUCCGAGUAUUACCUGAAAACGCACUCUCUGUGUCCCCCAAAUCUCAGGACUCAAUCCUCCUUGAUAUUCCUUUAGCCAAAUCCCUCUUCUUCUUGCCUAACCAAUUCUUCCAAGUUCCAAAGCUUUCUCCCUUGCUCUAGGCGUCCACAGCGAUUAGGGUUCCUCUCAAUUGACCAAAAGACUGAAAAUGACGGCCUAAGAGGCGUUAAAUACGAUCCAAACUGAACGGUUAGGGUUUCUGCUGAACAGCGUCGACUCGCCGAGUCCAUAUCUGGACUCGUCGAGUCCAGUCGCAAACCCGCGACCAAGUCUGCGAUCCUACUCGGCGAGUCUAGGAUCCAACUCGCCGAGUCCCCUCUUAAAUCACCCCCAAAAACAUAAUUUAACAAUACCUGAGAUUCCGGGCUGUUACAUUACUCUAGCAUGAACUUCACAUAUCAAUCAUACUAAUCGCAAUACGUAAGCAUGGUUAAUUUUGGGAAACACUUACUUGAGCUCGACAGAUCGCAUGCAUUGUACUCUCCCUUUUUACUUAAGAAAACCUUUUUCAGAAAAAUUUGAUUCUUUUUCUUUUGAAAAGAUUAUCAUUUCCUCUGUUUGAGUUCUGACACACCUGAGAGUGUGCCCGAAUUCCUCAAACCAAGACUCCAAUACCAACUUGUAACAGCCCAAAAACCGAAUAAAUUUUUUAAUUUUCAAUCAAGUAUUACGACAUAGUUUGUUUCCAAAAUCCAUUACAAAAUAAACAUGUCAAACUAUCAAAGUAAGAACAUCAGUAAGUGCGGAAAAUAGUGGAGAGUGAAUGUUGCGCCAUCAAGUCGGGCCCUUCCCUUUAGUACCGAAAGUACCUGAAAUCACAAUACAAAUUGUAAGAAAAAACUUAAUGAGCUUUCCCAAAAUAUCACACAACACAAAAACAAUUACCAUGGGCUACCCCCAUGGUCUUUUUCUCUGAAAUGCCAUGGGCUACCCCCAUGGUCUGAUAUCCAGGUUCCAUGGGCUAUCCCCAUAGUCUUUCAUGUUGUGGGUUACCCACAUAGUCUUCCAUACAAGUGCCCUGGGCUACCCCCGAGGUCUUCCAGACAAGCAACCACAUAAACAAUUAUCAUUCCACAUGACAAGUAAUGGGCCGACAUUGGUGUCUUCGACCCAUGGAUAUAGUGAGAAGACUCACCUCAACUGCUAAAAUCCCAAACAAAUACUCCGACUGCUAGGCUGCAUAAAAUCCCAUGCUAACUCGACAAAUAGUUCCCAAACAAUAAGUUCAAAAUCUGAACUAAGACUUCACAUAAAAAUAUAUUGCCCGAGAUGGGUCAAACUAGUCCUAAAGCCCAUAAAUAUCUAAAGUCCAAUCUAAUGGAUCAAUUAAGACCCAAGAGGGCCCAAAAACUAGAAAGGACCUACGGAAAAAUACCCUAGGCUCAAACCCAUUAACCAAGCCUAUCAACUUGACCCAAAACAUAAUUACCCCAGAUCUGGGUCAUACGCUCAACAUACAUAGUGGUAUGUAUAGCGUACCAAGUCAAAGCGGGAAAACGCGACCAAUGGAGCCAGUAUACGCGACGUACAGAAAGUACGCACGACGUAUGCAGCCUCCAUACAAAAGAUGCAAAAUUGGCUUAACCACUUAAGUCCUUAAGCCUAAAAUCCAUAUCUAAACCCCUUAAGCCCAUUAAGGCCAUAAAGUUGCAAACUUUAUGCCUUAGGAUAAAUACCAAAACCCCAAACUCAAAAUCCUAACUUAUCACACCCAAAACUACAUUCUAUCACAUGAAAGGGGACACAACAAAGUUCAAGCUUGUACCUUUAUGGGAUGAAAAGACUAGAAGCUUCUGAAAACUCAAUUUUGGAGCUUAGGAGUAGCUCAUACAUACCAAGAUCUAAUCUUUAUGGAAAAAAUGUGGAAAACUAUACCUAAAGUGGAACUUAAUGAUAAGCAACCAAAGGUUGGAGCUUUAUACCUUCUAAUGGAGCAAAAUGAAUAUGAGAAGUUGGAUCCAAGCUCUUGAGGGCAAGGCUUCCUUCUUGAGCAACCUACUUCACCACCAAAAGCACACUCUAACACUUAAAAUCUCCAAAAAGGGGCAAGAUACACUGGGGUUUGCUAAGAGAGUCGUAAGAGAGGAUGGAGGAUGAGGUAGGGGAUGGACUUAGGCCAUAAUGGGGUAUAAAUAAUGAACAAACCCUAAAUAUUAGGGUUUUGGUUUGAGCCUCAUAUACCCAGCAUACUGGAGUACGCACAACAUACUAAUCCAGGACCAACUACGCUAAGCGUGUAGGGGUGUAUACCCCGCGUACUCAAUUAGGGACAAAACCUAGAGAUUUUCACUUCAGGGAGCUUUUGUGCAACAAAAACGAACUUAAAGGGUUCAAAAGCAAACCUAAAGAUUUCUAUAUGUUACACACCACAUCUUAAUCAUCUUACAAUUCCUACUACCACCUCAGGUCACCAUAUCCAGCAACAGAUUCAGUUCCUACAGCAGCUCAGGUCAUCAUCUUCGGUCAUAGAUCCAAUAUCAUAGAAAUCACCCAAAACCCAACAGAGAGCUACCUAACAUUCCAUAAUAAAUCUAAAAAUACAUCUAAAACCAAACCUGUAACUCAAAUCAAAAACUAAAAUAAAACCAGAAAAUCAAAUUUAAAACCAAAAUCGAAUCUAGAUGCAAAUCCAAAUCCAAAAUCGAAGAUGCAAUUCAAACUAAAAUCCAGAACCAAAAUCCAUGAUGCAAAAAUCACAUAUAUAAUCACAAAUGACAAAAUACCACCCUGCACGGCCCUUCAUACGUCCUGCAGCACUUUCCACAACAGCUCCAAUCAUGCUAGCCUCUCGAAAACGAAGGAUGGGUCUCAUCGUAUGUGCAUUGACUAUCGGGAGCUGAAUAAGGUAACAAUGAAGAACUGUUAUCCACUCCUGAGGAUUGAUGAUCUUUUUUACCAGCUUCAGGGUGCAUCUUGGUUUUCCAAGAUUGAUUUGGGAUCAGGUUAUCAUCAGAUGAGGGUUAGAGAAGAGGAUGUAUAGAAGAUAGCUUUCUAGACUCGUUAUGGUCAUUACGAGUUCGUAGUGAUGCCUUCUGGGCUCACCAAUGCUCCAGACGCGUUCAUGGAUCUCAUGAACCGCGUGUGCAGGUCGAUGUUGGAUCGGUCUGUGAUUGCAUUUAUCGAUGAUAUCUUGGUCUAUUCCAAGACCUAGGAGCAGCACGAGGAGCACUUGAGGGAAGUGUUGGAGACUCUGAGUAGGGAGAGACUUUUCGCAAAGUUCUCCAAGUGUGACAUCUGGUUGCGCGAGGUGCAGUUUCUUGGGCAUCUUGUCAACCAGAAUGGUGUUCUGGUCGAUCCGGCCAAGGUCGAGGCCGUGAUGCAGUGGGAGGUUCCGAGGUCACCAUUUGAGAUUCAGAGUUUCCUUGGUCUAGCAGGUUACUAUCAAAGGUUUAUCCACUAUUUGUCCAAGAUAGUUGUUCCAUUAACUUGGUUGGCAAAGAAAAAAGUUACAUUUCGUUGGGGGCCUAAGCAGCAAGCAACUUUUGAAAUCUUGAGACAGCAGCUGUGCGAGGCACCGAUUUUGACCCUGUCAGAGGGUGUUGAGGAUUUUGUGGUUUGUUGUGAUGCGACAAUCACAGGUUUGGAAGCAGUAUUGAUGCAGAGGGGUUAUAUGAUCUCUUACACUUUGAGGCAGCUGAAGCCGAAUUAUCCGAUGCAUGAAUUGGAGCUGGGAGCUGUGGUUUUCACCCUCAAUAUUUGCCGGAAUUACCUCUAUAGGGUCCGUUGUACCAUUUACACGGAUCAAAAGAGCCUGAGUUAUCUGAUGGAUCAGCUGAAUAUGAAUAUGAGGCAGCGCCGGUGGUUGGAUGUGGUGAAGGAUUAUGAUUAUGAGAUCCUUUAUCACCUAGGGAAGGCCAAUGUGGUGGUCAAUGCUCUUGGUUGCAAGGAGGUCGCGGCUCCAAUCAGAGACAUAUAUUUAAGGAUGACCGUGAUUACUCCGCUUUUGGAGCGGAUUCGUGAGACCCGGUUCGAGGCUAUGAAGGAAGAGCACCAGAAUAGUUAGUGUAUUGUGGUUUAGGUGGCUCCCUUCGAUUAUGAUAGCUAUGGGUUGUUGACUAUGCAUCGGCAAGUUUGGGUUCAUUUUGGGGCGAUGUGCGUCAAGUUCUGAUGGAAAAGCCACACAAGUUUAGGUUCUCCAUUCACCCCGGGGCGACGAAGAUGUAUAGGGAUCUUUUCCCUGAUUAUUGGUAGCCCUGCAUGAAGUAGGAUGUGGCAUGGUAUGUGGAGCGGUGCUUGACUUGCACGAAAGUCAAGGUUGAGCAUGAGCAGCCUGUAACGCCCUUAGAUCAGGGCUAGUCAAUUUAGAGACGAUAAGCAUCAAGAAUGACUUUUUGAUGAAAGAUUAUUUAGAAUGAUUAAUCUUAACUAAGUUAUAAUAUAUGUUACAAGGAUUUCGUACAUAUAAAGAACGCCGAAAUCCGAGUUAUAACGAAGAAGUUAUGACAUGUCGAAGUUUUGCGACAAAACCGGCACGACACAGCGCGACAUAAAAAGUGAAUUUACGUUAGAGCGAUAUUUAUCCUUAGCAAUCUAAACGAAAGUCGUAGAAUACGUUAAACCGUGAGCGUUCAUAAAAAGAACGUCCAAAUCUGACUUCGUAUGAGGAAGUUAUGAUUUUUUCUAAGUUUCGACUUAGCGGUAUUUAGCCCAAAUGCUCGAUUUGAGAUCAAGUAGUUUUUAGCCGAAACAAUAUAAACGAGAAUCGAAGAUCUUGUCAAUUGUAGUGAAACGAAAAAAAGAUAGGCGAAAACGGACGUCGGAUGAAGAAGUUAUGAAUUUAUAACGGAGUUUUCCUGUCCCGGCCUACUUAAAAUUAAUAAUAAAAAUAAAGUCAAAAUUAGCCGAUGGAGUCAAAACAAAAGCUGUAGAUCGUAGUCUCACCGACGCGGGGAUAUAAAGAACGUCGAAAACGGAGCUCGUAUGAGGAAGAUAUAAAUUUUUGAAGUUUAUUAAAUAAUUAAAGUAUUUAAUUUAAAUAAAAAUUCGGAUAUUAUCCAAAGGGGGGGAGUCACCGGGCUUAUCCACAUUACGCCCAGCGUAACAUAGAAUUACGCCUAGCGUAAUUCGGGUUUCAGCCCCCUUUAAAAGGAUGUCGAGGGCAGCCGAUUAUUAUGCUCAUUUCUUCCCUUUCUCUCGCGUUUUUGCAUCGUUUUUCGUGCAAGAAUAUUAUCCCAAAGCCCCGGUGUCAUUCCCGAGCCCCGAAGCAAGUCCCGAGGCCCCGAAGAUCCCGAGAAGUGCAAUUCCUGAGCCGAAGCUCUGCCCGCGAGGAGUCCGGUUUUUGUGAAGAUCUUCCAGAUCUGCCGAAGAAUACUACUUCUACAAGCCGUAGUGUUGUCCAAUCAUCUUCUAAUCAAGUGAGUGUGUAGUUACUUUCUUCUAACGCAUAAAUAUCAAGUAUUUGCUAUGAAAUACGUGCUAUGUGUAUAAUAUAAAGUUGUUUAUAUGUGUGGGUGUAUAGUCCCUUUCAUAAACACGGGUAUAAUACAAGUAUUGUUUGAAUGUAUUAAGUAUAUGUUUGGGUGAGUGUGUGGUUACUUUCUUCUAACACAUAAGUAUGAAGUAUUUACUACGAAAUACGUGUUAUGUGUUUAUAUAUUGUUGUUUAUUUGAGAUAUUCGUGGAAUGGAUGAACUAUAUAGGUUUUAAUGAGUUAAACUGUAUAUGUAUUUUAUAUCUACAAAUAUGUUGGGUAGGACAUGGGUAGAUGAGAUCCGUGAAUAUGGAUCAGAUCAAGAGAUUAGUUUUAGAUCCGUGAGUAUGGAUUAGACCAAGAGGUUAGUUUUAGAUCCGGGAGUAUGGAUCAGGUAAAGAGAUAAAACUUGUUAUUAGUCUGGGAGUAUGGAUUAAGACUAAGUUAAUUGUCCCUAGUCCGGGAGUAUGGAUUGGGCAUAAUUAUUGAUCCGAGAGUAUGGAUCAGAUCAAGAUUAAGGUAUACUUAAUUGUCUCUAUUCCGGGAGUAUGGAUCGGGUACAAUUAUUGAUCCGGGAGUAUGGAUCAGAUCAGGAGGUUAGUUUUAGAUCCGUGAGUAUGGAUUAGGGGAAAAAGGUUAGUUUUAGAUCCGUGAGUAUGGAUCAGGGGAAAAGGUUAGUUUUAGAUCCAUGAGUAUGGAUCAGGUGAAAAGGUUAGUUUUAGAUCCGUGAGUAUGGAUCGGGUGAAGAUAAUAGUUUUAGAUCCGUGAGUAGGGAUCGGGUAAAGAGGAAAAUUUUAGAUACGAGAGUUUAGAUCGUGUCGUUGUGAGGAUCGAUGUGGUGGGAUAAGAGUUGUCGUUAUAUGGUGAAAUUAUACAAGUUUGAAUGUUCUAUAUUUAUAAAUAUAUGAUAUAACAUUGUAGGAUGAAAACCCUAUAUGAGCACCAGGCUCCCAAGCCUGACCCACUCAGUUUUCUUUGUAUCAUAGGUAUUAAUACGAAGACAUAUUUCACAGAGAGAUUUAAAGGAGAUAUAAAUCAUUAAUGUAAUUGAAUGUAAGUUCUAUUUAUGCUUAUAUGUCUGUAUCGGAACAUGACAUCUUGAGGUUUUAUUAUUAAAUGAAAAUACAUUCUCUUCAAGAAAUGUUUUGAUAAGUUAUUAUCAUAUCUUGUUUUGGAAACAAAUUCCGCAACUAUUUUCUUUAAAAGAUUACUCUGAUUUUUAAAAACAAGUAUAAACAAAUCGGUCUUUUCUGGCCAUGAAAUUGGGGAUGUCAUAGUUGGUAUCAGAGCAUUAGUUUAAGCAAACUAGGAAUUUGUAGAAAAUUUCUAGACUUAAACUUAGAAUGCUAAGUAAUGAUUGUGAGGAGUGUGUCUAAAAUNUAAAACAAAGCAUAAACAAAUCGGUCUUUUCUGGCCGUGAAAUUGGGGAUGUCACAGUUGGUAUCAGAGCAUUAGUUUAAGCGAACUAGGAAUUUGUAGGAAAUUUCUAGACUUAAACUUAGAAUGCUAAGUAAUGAUUGUGAGGAGUGUGUCUAAAAUAUGUUAGGUAGUACACCUAAAUUGACACAAGCACUAGUUUAUUUUAGGAAUGAUGCCUAAAAAGCUUUUAUGUGCUAAAUGUUUUGUGUGAUAGCUAUAUUGAUGCUAUUAUUUGUUCGGAUCUAUGGUCUGUUGCCGACCGGAUCUGGAAACCUUAUGUGUGUAGGAUUCUAAGCGUAUGACUACGAUAUUAGAACUAGCAUGUAAACGUUUCGGAGCGAUAAGGAGAUUUAUACGUUUACCGUAAUUAAAGCUUUCUUAUCUUAAAUUCUCGCUUGGUACACCGAAUGUCUGCUUGGAUGUACAAGAGGUCAUGGUGAAGACUCGUAGAGAAAUUGAGUAAAUUGAGGAAAUGAAGAAGGCUUAUGAUAGUGGAUGACACCUAUCAGAAGAUAUCGUAAGAGUGGUAUCUUGCCUUUAGAGUAUGUCUUAUGAAAUAAAAGUACGUUUAGAGGAGUACGGUGCGUCUAAAGUACACCUUCGAUUGGCAGGAUGAUGGAACGAUUGGUGAAAUUCUUGAAGUUGUCUCACCGUUUGGUAUUUCCAUCACUAAUCGAGUUGAAGUAGAGUUGAUGAGUGAAGAUUGAGCAAUGAAGAAGUCCUAGUAGAGUCUAGGGAAAUUGUUUAUGAUUACUUGGACACAUCCGUAUGUGUUAAAUUGUUUUGUGAUUUUCUUGUAUGGUGACUUGGUCAACUGCGGGACAAUACUUGGGACGAGUAUGAGUAGGUGUGAAAGAUAGUAGAUGCAUAUACUACCAGAAGCACAGGACUCGAACUUGGAUCAGGGAAAGUCACAAGGUUACCAAGAAGCUAGUGUUUGAUUCCGUUUUAUUCGAGUAUGUCAUUAACCUUGUUUCGGUACUGACUAGUAAGAUGGUUGUUAUUUCGACCCUAGUGGUCAUAUCAAAUUGAGUCCGACUACGGUGGGUAUGUUACGUGGUUCAUAGAACCAAGUUCGAGGUAACAUCUGACGUAAGUCAGAAGGUUGAAAUUAAUGCGAUCGAUAGUAUCGCGCUCGUUGUUAAAAGAAGCUUGCAGGUAAAAAUGCUACAUGCUGAAAUGUGAUUAUAUCACAUUAGAAUACGAAGGAAGGUAUAUUCCAUUUUGGAAUUUGACUCUAAGAGACUUAAGUCAAAGCGUUGCAUAAUGCGAUGAGAGGUCAUUAGAAAAUGACCCAUCGAUCUGUUACAAUAGAUAAAGGAAAGUAUUUACCCUAAGAAGAAGAAAGAGUCCACAAUAAGGACUUAUUUGGUAACUCGAAGGUUACGAUUGAAAAGUACAACAUGGUACGAUAAGCAAAUGCAAGAUUGGGCAUCGUCUGCGGUCAAGAAAGCCAUAGAGUUAAAUACUCUUUUGAGGAAACAUAGAAGUUACGGUAAUUACAUAGGAUGAAGAAAUAUGUGGAAUCAUUAUGCAAUUCCUAUUUCUUUGAUGAUUUUGGGACGUAAUCAUCCUAAGGGGGAGAUAAUUGUAACGCCCGUAGAUCACGGCUAGUCAAUUUAGAGACGAUAAACGUCAAAAAUGACUUUUUGAUGAAAGAUUACUUAGAAUGAGUAAUCUUAACUAAGUUAUAAUAUAUGUUACAAGGAUUCCGUACAUAUAAAGAACGCCGAAAUCCGAGUUAUAACGAAGAAGUUAUGACAUGUCGAAGUUUUGCGACAAAACCGGCACGACACAGCGCGACGUAAAAAGUGAAUUUACGUUAGAGCAAUAUUUAGCCUUAGAAAUCUAAACGAAAGUCGUAGAAUACGUUAAACCGUGAGCGUGCAUAAAAAGAACGUCCAAAUCUGACUCCGUAUGAGGAAGUUAUGAUUUUUUUCUAAGUUUCGACUUAGCGGUAUUUAGCCCAAAUGCUCGAUUUGAGAUCGAGCGGUUUUUAGCCGAAACAAUAUAAACGAGAAUCGAAGAUCUUGUCAAUUGUAGUGAAACGAAAAAAAGAUAGGCGAAAACGGACGUCGGAUGAAGAAGUUAUGAAUUUAUAACGGAGUUUUCCUGUCCCGGCCUACUUAAAAUAAAUAAUAAAAAUAAAGUCAAAAUUAGCCGAUGGAGUCAAAACAAAAGUUGUAGAUCGUAGUCUCACCUACGCGGGGAUAUAAAGAACGUCGAAAACGAAGCUCGUAUGAGGAAGAUAUGAAUUUUUGAAGUUUAUUAAAUAAUUAAAGUAUUUAAUUUAAUUAUAAAAUCCGAUAUUAUCCAAGGGGGGGAGUCACCAGCCUUAUCCACAUUACGCCCAGCGUAACAUAGAAUUAUGCCCAGCGUAAUUUGGGUUUCAGCCCCCUAUAAAAGGAUGUCGAGGGCAGCCGAUUAUUUUGCUCAUUUCUUCCCUUUCUCUCGCGUUUUUGCAUCGUUUUUCGUGCAAGAAUAUUAUCCCAAAGCCCCUGUGUCAUUCCCGAGCCCCAAAGCAAGUCCCGAGGCCCCGAAGAUCCCGAGAAGUGCAAUUCCUGAGCCGAAGCUCUGCCCGCGAGGAGUCCGGUUUUGUGAAGAUCUUCCAGAUCUGCCGAAGAAUACUACUUCUACAAGCCGUAGUGUUGUCCAAUCAUCUUCUAAUCAAGUGAGUGUGUAGUUACUUUCUUCUAACACAUAAAUAUCAAGUAUUUGCUAUGAAAUACGUGCUAUGUGUAUAAUAUAAAGUUGUUUAUAUGUGUGGGUGUAUAGUCCCUUUCAUAAACACGGGUAUAAUACAAGUAUUGUUUGAAUGUAUUAAGUUUAUGUUUGGGUGAGUGUGUGGUUACUUUCUUCUAACACAUAAGUAUGAAGUAUUUACUACGAAAUACGUGUUAUGUGUUUAUAUAUUGUUGUUUAUUUGAGAUAUUGGUGGAAUGGAUGAACUAUAUAGGUUUUAAUGAGUUAAACUGUAUAUGUAUUUUAUAUCUACAAAUAUGUUGGGUAGGACAUGGGUAGAUGAGAUCCGUGAAUAUGGAUCAGAUCAAGAGAUUAGUUUUAGAUCCGUGAGUAUGGAUUAGACCAAGAGGUUAGUUUUAGAUCCGGGAGUAUGGAUCAGGUAAAGAGAUAAAACUUGUUAUUAGUCUGGGAGUAUGGAUUAAGACUAAGUUAAUUGUCCCUAGUCCGGGAGUAUGGAUUGGGCACAAUUAUUGAUCCGGGAGUAUGGAUCAGAUCAAGAUUAAGGUAUAGUUAACUGUCCCUAUUCCGGGAGUAUGGAUCGGGUACAAUUAUUGAUCCGGGAGUAUGGAUCAGAUCAGGAGGUUAGUUUUAGAUCCGUGCGUAUGGAUUAGGGGAAAAAGGUUAUUUUUAGAUCCGUGAGUAUGGAUCAGGGGAAAAGGUUAGUUUUAGAUCCGUGAGUAUGGAUCAGGUGAAAAGGUUAGUUUUAGAUCCGUGAGUAUGGAUCGGGUGAAGAUAAUAGUUUUAGAUCCGUGAGUAGGGAUCGGGUAAAGAGGAAAAUUUUAGAUACGAGAGUUUAGAUCGUGUCGUUGUGAGGAUCGAUGGGGUGGGAUAAGAGUUGUCGUUAUAUGGUGAAAUUGUACAAGUUUGAAUGUUCUAUAUUUAUAAAUAUAUGAUAUAACAUUGUGGGAUGAAAACCCUAUAUGCUCACCAGGCUCCCAAGCCUGACCCACUCAGUUUUCUUUGUAUCACAGGUAUUAAUACGAAGACAUAUUUCACAGAGAGAUUUAAAGGAGAUAUAAAUCAUUAGUGUAAUUGAAUGUAAGUUCUGUUUAUGCUUAUAUGUCUGUAUCGGAACAUGACAUCCCGAGGUUUUAUUAUUAAAUGAAAAUACAUUCUCUUCGAGAAAUGUUUUGAUAAGUUAUUAUCAUAUCUUGUUUUGGGAACACUGUUUUCUUUAAAAGAUUAUUCUGAUUUUUAAAAACAAGCAUAAACAAAUCGGUCUUUUCUGGCCGUGAAAUUGGGGAUGUCAUACAGCCUCACGGCAAGAUGCAGCCGUUGGAGAUCCCCAUAUGGAAGUGGGAGGAUAAUACCAUGGAUUUCAUCAUGAAGUUACCCCGGAAUUCACGUGGUGUGGAUUCGAUUUGGGUCAUCGUGGAUUGAUUGACCAAGAGCGCGCAUUUCAUCUCGAUUCAGGAGAGUAUUUCUGUAGAGAAAUUGGCUGAGAUUUAUAUCAGGGAGGUGGUGGCACGUCAUGGGGUGUUGGUUUCAGUGGUUUCUGAUAGAGAUGUUCGGUUUAUUUCCAUGUUUUGGAAGAGAUUUCGUGAUGAGUUGGGUACUCAUCUCCAUUUCAAAACAUCAUUCCAUCCGCAGGCCGAUGGUGAGAGCGAGCGGAUGAUUCAGAUAUUAGAGGAUAUGCUUCGUGCAUGGGUUUUGGACUUUGGUGAGAGUUGGGAUACAUAUAUUCCAUUAGCAGAAAUUUCAUAUAACAACAGUUAUCAUACCAACAUUGAUUGACCUCCUUUUGAGAUGCCCUAUGGGAGGAAAUGCAAGACCCCGAUUUGUUGGGGCGAGGUCAGUCAGUGGGUUAUGGGGAGUACCGAGAUGGUACUCAAGACCACUGAGUUGAUUCAGCAGGUUCGGAGUAGGCUCCAGAAAGCUCAAAGUCGGGAGAAGAUUUAUGCCCACAGAUGCCAAUCAGAUUUAGAGUUCCAGGUAGCGGACAUGGUUCUCCUGAAGGUGUCAUCUUGGAAAGGUGUCAUCUGAUUAUGCAAGAGGGGCAAGUUGGGCCCCACGUAUAUUGGUCCUUUCAAGGUUUUGGCUCGGGUGGGCUAGGUAGCUUACCGCUUGGAUCUUCCUGAUGAGCUCAGUCAGAUUCAUAGCACGUUUCAUGUCUCUCAUCUACAUAAGUGCUUACUGGAUGAUUUUGUAGUGGUAUCGUAUGAGGAUAUUCAAGUGGAUGAUCUCCUGAAUUAUAUUGAGAGAUUGGUGGUGAUUCUUGAUCGUAAGACAAAAACCUUGAGGAAAAAGGUUAUGAAGUUGAUUAAGGUGCAAUGACAGCACCGCAAGGGUUUGCAAUGGACUAGGGAGCCGGAAGAUGAGAUGAGGGAGCACUAUCAAAGUUAUUCGGUGCAACGGACAUCGAGGACAAAGUCUGAUUUAAGUGGGGGAGAAUUGUAACACUUGGAUUUUUGUAAGUUUCUUAUUCCAUCCUUUUUAUUUAAAAGUUCUCAAUUUGGUCUCUAAGCUAGUACGUGGGAGUACUAGGUUGUACGCUUGGCGUACUGGCCCUGGUGGAUCGCGCCUUUGGUUCACGUACGAUGGGUGUACAAAGGGUACGCACGAAGUACGUGUGAUUAAGUGAAACCCAAAUUUUAGGGUGUUACGCCCUAUUUAAACCUUGUAAUAGCCUCACUAGGUCAUGUUUAGACAGCCUCCAUUCUCUCUUGUCCAGACUAUCGAACCCUAAGUGAGAUCUUGAGAGUUUGAGCCUUAAAGUGUGAUUUUUGGUGCUUUGUGAAGGAGAAGAAGGAGUGAACCAUUUGGAGUUGUGCUUGGAGCUUAAAGAUCUGAGAUUUGCUCUCCAUUUGCUUUCCUUGUGAGGUAAAAAGCUUCCAUCUUGUUAAUACAUGAUGUUAGAUCUAGUUUGGUGCCAUUUUGUGAUUUUUGAGCCCAUGGUUUGAUUGUUGAGCCUCUUGCUUCACUCUGGAAGUGAUUGAUGGUAGAUCUAGGAUCCUUUUGGCCCCUUUUUCCAUAAAAAUGCAAUCUUGGAGGUGUUUAUGGACUCAUGCAUGUGCUAAGUCAUUUAUUAAGCUCUUUUGAGCUAUAAGAGCCUCAUUAAGCCAUGCAUGCACGUAAAGUUGGAAACUUUACGUGAUAAUCCACCUUAAGGAAGUCAGAUCUGAAUUUGGGUUGAAGUCUUAAUCGAUUAAGAGUUGAAUUGUGAAAGUUGGCCAAGUUGGUGGUGUACAUCGGGCGUACAAGCAGGUACGUUGUGCAUACAAUCCCUAAAGCGAGUACGCUGAGCAUACGAGUUGGGUACACCCUAUGUACUCAGCAGUGGGCUUUAGUAUUGUGGGCAUCUCGGAUAUGUGCCCAUAUUGGACCUUAGUAGUCUUGUUUUUUGUUGGGUCACCAAAAUUUUAUUAUUGCGCUGUUGAUAUUUUAUUGGACUCUUUUGGUUGAAGGCCCAUGAAAGGGAUUUGGGCCUAAUUUGGAAAAUUGGGCCACAUUUUGGCUUUAGGUGAUUAUUUUGGAAAUUGGGCUUUUGGACAAUUGGUUUGGGCCAUGGCCUUGGGACAAGCUAGGUAAAGGGUAAAAAGGUCUUUUACCCUAGUUUGGACUCUUAGUGUGAGUCAGGAUCCAAUUAUUAAUCGGAUGUUGUUUUGUGAUUAUAGCGUGGAGAUUUUUAGCGGGCCAGUGGUCAGAGUUUUAUCUGUGAGAUUCUGCGGUGUGAGGUGAGUUUCCUCACUAUAUUUAGUGGGUCGAAGGCAUCAAUGCCGGUCCAUGAUUAUUGUGGUAGGAUGCCAGAUGUAUGGGUGACUCUUGCAUGUGGUAUGUGCUGGUAUGUAUACCGAGCGAGGCUCGAUUUCGGGCGAGGCCCGAUGACUAUAUUGUAUGCUAUUGGUUUGUGGUUAUUGUAUGUGUUAGCAUUAUUAUAUGUUUAUAUGUUAUUAUGUGUAUUGGGCGGGGCCCGAUGUCAGGUGGGGCCUAAUGAAUGACAGAUCUGUAAUCUGAGCAGGGCUCAAUGUCGGGCGGGUAGGGAUGUCAACGGGGGCAAACGGGACGGGGAGUGCAUCCCCCGCCCCUGCCCCCGANNNNNNNNNNNNNNNNNNNNNNNNNNNNNNNNNNNNNNNNNNNNNNNNNNNNNNNNNNNNNNNNNNNNNNNNNNNNNNNNNNNNNNNNNNNNNNNNNNNNNNNNNNNNNNNNNNNNNNNNNNNNNNNNNNNNNNNNNNNNNNNNNNNNNNNNNNNNNNNNNNNNNNNNNNNNNNNNNNNNNNNNNNNNNNNNNNNNNNNNNNNNNNNNNNNNNNNNNNNNNNNNNNNNNNNNNNNNNNUUAUGGGUUGCCUUUUUUUUUGCUAAAAGAAGUUGUUAUUUAGGCUAAAAGAAGGUAUUUUUAAGUAACAAAUAAUUAUUUAUAGCAAAAUUUUAUGUGUUAGAAAUGAAAAAGUUAUGAAAUCUUAAAAACAUUAUACUAACAACUUAAAAACGUGUUUUUGAUGAAUUUUGGAAGCUUGAAAUCAUGCUAUUAUUUAUUAUAUUUAUAUAAUUAAUAUAUGUAAAUAUAUGUGUAUUUUAUUAACGAGGUCCCCAUGGGGGUUUCGGGACGAGAUUGCCUACCCCCGCUCCCGCCCCCAAAAUUAAAAUGGGGGUUAACCUUGCCCCCGCCCCCAUCCCCAUCCCCGAUAUUUUUUUAAAAAUUUCCCCAAAUGGGACGAGGUCCCAUGGGACUUUUUGACAUCCCUACGGGCGUGGCCUGAGGUCGAGUGGGACUCGAUGUCGAGCGAGGCCCGAUUUGGGGCGGGGGCCCAGUAUGUGUUUAUUUAUGUAUGGUAUGUGGUAUUUUGGGUAACUCACUAAUCUUUGGGCUUACAGGUUUUCGUUUAUGUUUUAGGUACUUCCAGAUCGAAAGGGAAGAGCUCAGGAUGAUUGCAGAGCACACACCACUUUUUUCUACACUUUGAGAAUUACUCUGAUAUGUUUUGAUGUAUUGAUAUAUUUUGAUCUUUUUAGGGUUGUAUAACAAUGUUUGUAUUAAUGUGUUAUUAAAUCAAAAAUGAAAUUUUUGGGUCUUACUUUUGGGACGUUAUAUAUUUGAACGUUUGCAACUAAUAUUUUCAAAGAAUACUAAUAUUCAAGAAUUGGAUUUUUAUUAAUAUCAAUUUAGUGUCUGACUUGUUAUUGGUGUGAUCAUAUAUGAUACUAUGUUAUUGACAAUAUUAUUUUAUGAUCAUUUUUCAGUAUAUGGAAUCAACAAUAACUUGAACAUUUAUUUUACCUCAUAACAUCUUUGAUUUCACCUAGCAUGUUGACCAAUCAUUCGUAGAUUUCUCCCAUUUUGGGACGUUCACCGUCACAAAAUUUGCUUAACAAAAAAAUAGGUUUGUAAUAGCCAAAAUAUUCUCAACCUGUAACACUCAAAAUCUUGAGGAGCAAUUGUAAGGAAUGAAUCCCAUUUUGAGGACUGAACACCGCAUGUUGGAGGAACCAACACAACGUGUCUAGUUAACGAAAAGUGCAGUUCUCAUUAGGGUCAACAUGGCGUGUUGGAAGCUGGGAAGGAAACCCUAAUUUUAGGAUGUUGCACCUUAUAUAAUCUCUUUGAGCCCCAAGGGCUGGUCUCCUUAACAGCCUCCAUUGUCACUAAAACCCUAAAAUCGAUCCCUAAGUCUCUUGGUGUUGUUCUUGAGCUAGUAAGAAGUUUUUGGUACUCAUUUUUGGCCUUGGUGAAGGAGGAGGAGAUCUUGAAGUUGUCGUGCUUAGUGGAUUGGCUUUAGAUCCAGAAUCAUCUCUUUUUGGGCAAGCUUUCUAAGGUAUCAAGUUUGAACCUUGACAUAUAGAUGUUUAGAUCUCCUCAUAUUGUGCUUUGUUAUGCUUUUGGUCCCUUUUUGGGUUGAUGAAAGAUUGAAGUCAUUUUAAGGGCUUAUUACUCCAUAUUUGAGUUUGUUUUGGUCCCUUUGAGCAUAAAGGUGCAAGCUUUAUGAGAUUUUUGGUGUCAUGCAUGCAUUAAGUCAAUUAUUAAGUCCCUUUUAAGCUUAAGAGCUUCAUUUAGACAUGUAUAAACGUAAGUUGGAAAAUUUACGUGGUUUUCCAACUCAAGGAAGUCAGAUCUAUGUUUUGGGGCUAUGUCUUCAAGGCUUGAGUGCUUAUUGGUUAAUCCCUUGCAUAAUCAAGCUUUGUGAUUUGGGUUUUUGGACCUUCUUGGUAGUCCCUAUGGGUAAAAAUGGAAAGUUUACCCUUCUAAGUCUCAUUUUGGUCUAGAUCUGAGCUUGGAGCUCUUGGAAUCGGAGAAAGUAGCUUAAUGUAUUAAGUUGUUGGAAUUCAGGAAAACACGGCGUGUUUCUAGGUCAACACUAUGUGUUGGCUGGGGUUUUCCUGACUUUUUGGAUGCUAUUGGAACACGGCGUGGCCAAGAGGCAACACGGCGUGUUUGAUCAACAUGGACUGUUGACUUUGACUUUGACCAGAAGUUUGAUCAGAGUUGGCCACAGGAUAUGUUGGGCCAUGUUUGGGCCUUGGUUGAUUAUUUGGCUUUUGGGUCUUUCAGGUUGUGAGUUUGGGCCUUAGUCUUUGACCAAGCUAGGUUAGGGCUAAAAUGGUCUUUUUACCCCGAGUAUGGAUUUAUGGAUAUGGAUUGGAACCAAAUGUUGAUUGGGUGUGGUUUUGUUAUUGAUAGUUCGGGGAUCGAUCACCCAGCAGCCUGAGAUUUAUCUGUGGGAUUCAGCAGUGCGAGGUGAGUUUCAUCAUUAUGUUUAGCGGGUCAAAGGCACCAAUUUCGGCCCGUGGUUUGCUAUGUAGGAUGCUAGAUGUCUACGUGACUCUUGCAUAUGUAUGUGCAUGUAUGCUUACUAGGCGGGGCCUAAUGGUUAUUCUGUCUCCUAGUGCCUGGUUAUGCAUAUAUGACUUGUACGUGGGCGGGACCCAAUGAUUGUGCAGUAUGCUACUAUCUUUGUGAUUUUCGCAUGUGUUUGGAUGUUAUAUGAUUAUAUGGUUAUAUGUUUAGUUCGCGGGGCCCGUUAUGCAAGUGUGGGUGGAGCCCGUAUCUCAGUGGGUGGGGCCUGUUUUAUGCUUAGUUUUGUAUGGUAUGUGGUAUCUUGGGGAACUCACUAAGUUUUAUGCUUACGGUUUUCAGUUAUGUUUCAAGUACUUUGGUUUGCUAUUGGAAGAGCUUGGGAUGAUUGCAGAGCACACGCCACAUGUUUUCGCAUUCUGUGAAUUACUCUAAAUUUAUGAUGUUUUGAUAAAUCUCGAUUAACUUGUUUUUAUGGAAGUGUUAUGUAUUAACGAUUUAUUAAUCAAAAAAUAAAAAUUUUAUGUCAUUGUUUUUUGGGACGUUACACAACCACUUCCCAAAACUCGUUAUCUUUAAUCGUAUCGACGACUUUUUCCCCCAACUAAUCGAGUGUUUUCGUCCCCACUUUAGACCAAUCAUUCGAGAUGGUUGAGACUUGAGACUCCUUGUGUACACUACAUGUCUCUAACCGGUGUUAGCUCCUUCUCAACAUUACUAACACAUUCAUCAAGUAAGACGGAUCCCGUUUUUUCACACGAAAGGGGUUUGUAGCCAUACGGGCUUUCUUGAUGGCGUUAACCAUUUUAAGAAAUUAUGGGUUGCAUAGCACGUUGAAAGGAAUCAUGUUUGCAUACAACUCUCGAAUGAUCUUCAAAUCCACCGCAUUUCUCUCUAAUAUGCCAAAAGUUGCUUCAAUGUGCCUAUUUUGUAAUGCAUCUUUGCAUCUUUGGAGAGUACUGAAUAAAGUUUUGACACUCCACAACUUUUUACUUCUUUAACCUUCUUCUAUAGGUUGUUCAACUUGUCUCGAUCUCUAACCAUGAUUAAGCAUCUUUUAAGCUCAAUUUUUCCCCACAUCGGGACCAAAAAAAUGGUCAUGAAUUCUGGUGUAGGAGCUCGUGAACAUACCUUUACAGUGAUUGCAAAUCCACUUUUUAGAGGACCUCCUUCAUUCUUCUUGUUUCCUAUCCACUUUUUAGCACCUCCUUCGUUCUUCUUGUUUCCUGUGCCAACAAAGGUUGCUUCAUCAAGGAGUGGCUUAGUAGAAUCUCUCUUCGGUUGGUUUUUUUGCUUGACCUCCUAUUGAUAAUGUUGUGUUUUGUACCUCAUCAUCAAGGUCAAUGUAACUUUGUGUGUCACUCACUAUGGUCUCACCGUCAUCUCGUGGAGUAUUGCUAUUCUUGCCAAAUGCCAUUUCAGAAUUUGAAGAUUAAACAACUGAUUUUAAAGAAGACAAGAAGUAUAGAAAUAGAAAAGAUGUUGAUGAUGAAAUUCAAAAUGCUUAACAAGGUAUCCAUACAUGUUCAUGGCUUAAGAGUGAAAUUGAAAGAUGUAACUAUGUUGCCACAUCAUAUCAUGAUAUCAUCAUCCAUCUUCUACCUAUGAAAGGCUACGUGAUCAAAUUCAACAACCAAAAAUCGAUUUCACGACAUACAACUUACUAUUACUACAAACAUAAAACUUAAAAUUAAAGCAAUCUUCAGUUUACAAAAGUACAAAAUAUCAGUCACAACUCACAAGUAUUUAAAAACCUCCAAAAAUAUAUAAUAUGAACAUAAGUUUUAACGAUUCCAAAAUCCACUUCCAAAACCACCAACAAUCAAGAGAUGCUACUUCCCCUUCUUUGAACCGGUUUAUAAAGUACAACAUUCACGUAUUUUGACCGAAAACGAUGAGAGAACCCAAGAGCCACAACUGACCGAGGUGCCUCUCUGUUCUCAAUGUAAAGAUGAUUCAGCACCACAUGUUGUGGGUCGGGCAGUCGGGCAGCUGGGUCGCCGUUUUUCGGGUAGCUAUAGCUUAGAACUGUGUGUUGUAGGUGUUGUGGGACUAUGGGUGGGUCCCGCCCAUCAUCUUCGGUUGCAGUGUAGAUGUUGUUGUAACUUGCAUCCGGUGAUGUUGGGACUUCAAAUCCAGCCACCACAGGUGUUUCCUGUGAUAUGAUUGUGUACACUUGUCGACUUGCUAUUGAUUUUGAAAUAUAAUUAUAAAAAAAAUAAAAUUAAAAAGGGUUUGGAAAACUUACCUGAUCUUGACAAUGAGAAUUGUUCAUAUUGAAGCGAAAUAUAGAUUAAAUUCUAAUAGUUCCAAAUCAUCACCUAAUAGUUUAACCUGAAAGAAGAUAUGGGAGCUAAAACAUAUCAGAAAUUUGAGGUUAUUAAUCAUCAAAUUCCCUAAAAAUAUGACAAUGUCAGAAACAAAGUUGGGUUUCAAGAAUAAUGAUACUACAUCUUCUAUUAACAUAGGGUUCAAAUGCUUCCUUUGAAAAAGGUAUCUAUCAACGUCAUGCAUUUCAAAGUUUCACUAGGCCCAGAUGUUCGAUGUGCUUAAAUGAAUUUGUGAUUUUAUCAAGAUAUGGUUGUCAAUGGCCUCCAGGAGAAACACAGAGAUUGCACAUGUAUAAUCAUAGGAAAACUACCCAACUACACGUCCUGAAAGAAGAUUAGCUUCUAAAAAAUUCCUCGAUUGUUAAUACAAAAAUAAGAAUUAAAACUCAAUUUUAGGGUUAAAAUAGAACCUAACUUCAAACUAAUGAUACAAAUCCUAUUCUAGAAAAUUGAUGUUCCUAAGUAUCUAGGAUGAAUUCAAGAAAAAAAAAAUAUUCGGUUCGGAUUUCUCAACAAAAUCGGGACUCCAAUUUUGGGACGUGCAACCCUAAUCGAUCGAAUCUGUUAUAUGCAUAUAUGCCGAUCAAAUAUUCUCAAAUUUCAGAAAUUUCAUGUUGUAUAAAAGAUCUAAGAAACAUAGAGAAUUGGUAUUAAUUCUGAAUUCGCAUAAUUCGAAACGAGAUCAAAUUAAAAAAAUAAUUAAAAAAAAAUGCAGAAGAACAAAACGAGGUGGAUAUAUCGACGAACCUGUUGGAUCAAUGAUUGUUUGAUUAGGCUUCAGACUUAUAAUCCUUCACAGUCGUGGAAUUUCACUUGUGCAAUCAAGAAAUUUCUUAACAAAAACCGGAAACCUAAAAAUCGCAAGAAAAUGAAGGCUAUGAGCAGAAAAUGAGAUACUGAGCGAAAAGAGGGAAACCCGAGAGGCCGAGAUGAAAAGAGAUUGACUUUUAAAUGGACCGAGUUUUAAUCCGAAUUUGAAAUGGGCCUCCUAGAGAUCCACAAUUCGUGACCUAUUUCUUUUUAGCUCGUUUGAUUUGGUAUAUUACGAAACAUGAGACAUUGAGACGCAUAAUUAUUUAAGAUUGAUCUUGUUUAUGGAGUAAAAUGUUAAUUUUUGGAUUGUAUAAGCAUAAUCUAUUAUUAUGUUGAUUGGAAGUAAACAACGGUUAAGGUUUUAUUAUCAAUUAUCAUCAAUAAAAGUUACAUAUUUAGGGUAAAGAAAAUAGCUAAACAACCCACAACUAAAACGACCAAACAAAAACAAACAUAAAUAUACUUAACAUCUCUCCUCAAAAUCACAUGACACUUCAUUACCCGUUGUCCAUUGAUAAUUUGUGAGACUAAAAACAUAAAUGUAAAACUAAUAGAAUUAUAUAUAUAUAUAUAUAUAUAUAUAUAUAUAUAUAUNNNNNNNNNNNNNNNNNNNNNNNNNNNNNNNNNNNNNNNNNNNNNNNNNNNNNNNNNNNNNNNNNNNNNNNNNNNNNNNNNNNNNNNNNNNNNNNNNNNNNNNNNNNNNNNNNNNNNNNNNNNNNNNNNNNNNNNNNNNNNNNNNNNNNNNNNNNNNNNNNNNNNNNNNNNNNNNNNNNNNNNNNNNNNNNNNNNNNNNNNNNNNNNNNNNNNNNNNNNNNNNNNNNNNNNNNNNNNNNNNNNNNNNNNNNNNNNNNNNNNNNNNNNNNNNNNNNNNNNNNNNNNNNNNNNNNNNNNNNNNNNNNNNNNNNNNNNNNNNNNNNNNNNNNNNNNNNNNNNNNNNNNNNNNNNNNNNNNNNNNNNNNNNNNNNNNNNNNNNNNNNNNNNNNNNNNNNNNNNNNNNNNNNNNNNNNNNNNNNNNNNNNNNNNNNNNNNNNNNNNNNNNNNNNNNNNNNNNNNNNNNNNNNNNNNNNNNNNNNNNNNNNNNNNNNNNNNNNNNNNNNNNNNNNNNNNNNNNNNNNNNNNNNNNNNNNNNNNNNNNNNNNNNNNNNNNNNNNNNNNNNNNNNNNNNNNNNNNNNNNNNNNNNNNNNNNNNNNNNNNNNNNNNNNNNNNNNNNNNNNNNNNNNNNNNNNNNNNNNNNNNNNNNNNNNNNNNNNNNNNNNNNNNNNNNNNNNNNNNNNNNNNNNNNNNNNNNNNNNNNNNNNNNNNNNNNNNNNNNNNNNNNNNNNNNNNNNNNNNNNNNNNNNNNNNNNNNNNNNNNNNNNNNNNNNNNNNNNNNNNNNNNNNNNNNNNNNNNNNNNNNNNNNNNNNNNNNNNNNNNNNNNNNNNNNNNNNNNNNNNNNNNNNNNNNNNNNNNNNNNNNNNNNNNNNNNNNNNNNNNNNNNNNNNNNNNNNNNNNNNNNNNNNNNNNNNNNNNNNNNNNNNNNNNNNNNNNNNNNNNNNNNNNNNNNNNNNNNNNNNNNNNNNNNNNNNNNNNNNNNNNNNNNNNNNNNNNNNNNNNNNNNNNNNNNNNNNNNNNNNNNNNNNNNNNNNNNNNNNNNNNNNNNNNNNNNNNNNNNNNNNNNNNNNNNNNNNNNNNNNNNNNNNNNNNNNNNNNNNNNNNNNNNNNNNNNNNNNNNNNNNNNNNNNNNNNNNNNNNNNNNNNNNNNNNNNNNNNNNNNNNNNNNNNNNNNNNNNNNNNNNNNNNNNNNNNNNNNNNNNNNNNNNNNNNNNNNNNNNNNNNNNNNNNNNNNNNNNNNNNNNNNNNNNNNNNNNNNNNNNNNNNNNNNNNNNNNNNNNNNNNNNNNNNNNNNNNNNNNNNNNNNNNNNNNN